GGUACCUCGGGUUACAUACGCUUCAGGUUACAGACUCCGCUAACCCAGAAAUAGUGCUUCAGGUUAAGAACUUUGCUUCAGCAUAAGAACAGAAAUCGUGUGCCGGCUGCGUGGCAGCAGCAGGAGGCCCCAUUAGCUAAAGUGGUGCUUCAGGUUAAGAACAGUUUCAGGUUACGUACGGACCUCCGGAACGAAUUAAGUACUUAACCCGAGGUACCACUGUAUUUUGAGCAUGUUGGGAAAGGGUUUUGACUCCUGAGAGCAAAAAUGUGUGAACCGCUCUUACAAGACGGGAAGCCACUGGAAGCUGGAUUGAACCUCUGAAUUAUCAGUUACAUAGAAUCACACUGAGCAUAUAUCUGUUGACAGUCUUUCUUCUUCUUCUUCUUCUUCUUCUUCUUCUUCUUCUUCUUCUUCUUCUUCUUCUUUUCUCUCUCUCUCUCUCUCUCUCUCUCUCUCUCUCUCUGGCAAAUGGCACUGAUGAUUACUUCUGAAGUUUUCAUCUGUUGAAUGGAUGCAAUGCCUUAUUACAGAUACUAAAAGUUACCUUGUCAGCAAUCCGCUCACUUUAUUGCAUCCAUAGGGCACUCACAUAAUUCCAACAUGUCCCAUGACCAAAAUGCUAGGGGAAAAGCAGAAGGUGACAUCAUAAUGUAUCCCUCAGCUUCAGUGGAAAUAUUUGUCGAUCAGAAAGGAGUGGAGCCUGGGUAAUUUUGAUAUAAACCCCAAACUACAGAUCCUGGUGAAAGUUUCAUUGAGGCUAUUUCAGCUUAGGUUUGAGGAGAGGGACUUCAGAUCAUAAAGUUGGACGGCGCCAUGGAAGUUACCGAGUCCAACUACUGACUCGGUUCCAGAUUCUUGAACUAUACCACCCUUGGCAGAUAUUGAUGGAUGGAUCUGUCUAUUUCAGUUAUCUCAGUUUCUAUUCUUCCAGUCUUAAAUUCAGUUCUUCACGUUUCUACAGCAAUUUGUGAUUUUUUAAAUAAAAAAAAUCCUCAUGAAAAUUCAGCAUUAGUGAAAAUUUCUCCUAAUAAAUGCAUUUUUUUAAAAUGCAGUUUUGAUUAAGAGACUUUUUCCCCAGUUUCCUCCAAUAUAAUCUAUUCCACCUGCUAAUAUAUUUUAUGCACACUUUCCCUUAAGAUGGGGAUUUUUAUAAACAUUGGUUGGAGAAAUGCAUCGCAAAAUUCGGAGAAGUUCAGAUUUUAAGGGAUGGCUGUGUUUCAGCUCUUGCAUUGUUUCAAAAAGUGCCAGUUGGGUAGGUUCUCUUUUAAAGAAGUGAAACCAUUAGUCCAUCUGCCUCAAUGUUGUCUACACUGACUGGCAGAAGCUCUUCACGAUGUUUCUGGAGAUGCUGAGGAUUGAACCUGCGUACAAAGCAGAUGCUAUACCACUGAGCUAGAAGAUUGGAUUUGUGAUUUUUAGCCGUCAUAUUGCACUUCUGUUUCAUGUUCAGCUUGUGAUCAACCAAGAAAAAAUUAGCCUCUUUGAUAUUACAGAGAUGUUGUCACUGGCUUGCCCAUUCUGAUCCUUCAACUUCAUGUCAGUGGCAAUUAUAAUUAGCCCAGGGUGUUUUGUUCAUGUGUGGAAGACAAUGAGCCUGCUAUUAUUGGCAGGGUCUGGGCGAGGCUGUCAGAUCAUUUGUUAUAUUAUACAGUAAUUGUUAGUUUAUUGAUAUUUCUAGGAGGAAAUGGAAGAAGAAAAGUGGGGGUUUUAUUUGAUGUGCAACCAGUCUCACUGUGUGCGUGUCAAAGCACAUUGCAGAAAUUAAGAUUCCUCCUUUCAAAGGUUGUUUUUUUAAAGAAACACCACAUUCAAGUAUAGGUAGGGAACUAGUGGUCAUGCGCAUGUUGUACUCCAGAUCCCAUCAUCCCCAGCCAGUGUGGUCCACAGUCAGGGAUGAUGGGAGUGGUAGUCCAGCAACAUUUGGAGGGUCACAGUUUCCCUAGCCCUGCAGUAGCACAUACAAAGCUUCUCACCUCUGGUUGAGAUUUAGAAGAAUCUCUCAAUUCCAGUUCUCUGUUUUACCGUCUUAAAUUAAGUUCUCCACAUUUCCACAGCAAUCUGCUGCAUGCAGAUCAUGAGAAUUCACCAGCCUUUUAGUGCAAAUUUAACCUCAUAUGCAACCAUUUCAUUUGCAAGCAAUUUCUCCAUAUACAAUGCAUUCUUCUGUCUUCGCCAGCAUAUUUAUUGUUAUGCACACUUUCCCCAUAUGUCCUAAUGUUCACCUGAAAGCUAUCCUUCUGUUCCACCUCCACUGUUGGAUACCUCUGAGUACCAGUUGUUGUGAGCUGCAGGUGAGAGAGCAAUGUUCUCUGGUUCUGUUUGGGGGACAUCUGGUAGGCAACUGUGAGAACAAGAUGCUGGACUAGAUGGGCCUUUGACUUGAUCCAGUGGGCUUAUUCUUAUGCUUUUAUGUUCUUAAGCAUGAUGCUCAUCAAUCUGCUUCACAGGGCCGAAAACAGGUGCCUGAUGUCGUCUUCACUUUCUUCCCUCUUUCUCCUUUCAAUCCAUCCUACAAGGCCUUGUGCACUGGAAAUGUUUCUGGGGAGUUCUUUACGGCACACAUUCAGUUCAUACAAGGCAGUAAGUAGACCUGCUGGGCCUCACAGUCAGUCCACCUGAGCCCCAGGACCCAUAGGAAAUGCAAGAACAUGAAAUGAUCAGUAGAUGUGGGCAAGAUGUUCUCCUUGGAAGUCAAUCCACCAUUACUGAUCACUGAGGGGAGAGUAUUGUGCUUCGGGGUCCUGAUUCGGAGCUUUUCAUGGCUAUCUGGUUUUUCCACUGUGAGAACAGGAUGCUGGACUGGAUGAGUCUUGAUCUGGUCCAAGAGAGCUCAUUGCCCAUGGAGGUUGAUUAUUGUCUUCCAAAGCAACUACUCUAUUCCGAACUUCAACAUGGAAAGUGUAAUGCUGAUGGUCAACAAAAGAGGUUUAAAGGCUCUCUCAAGGCAAAUCUAAACAAAAAUAGUAUAAACACCAACAACUGGGAAACAUCGGCCUGCGAGUGCUCCAACUGGAAAAGAAAAAGAGUUUGGAUUUGAUAUUCCGCUUUAUCACUACCCUAAGGAGUAACAAAGCGGCUAACAAUCUCCUUUCCUCCCCCACAACAAACGCUCUGUGAGGUGAGUGAGGCUGAGAGACUUCAGAGAAGUGUGACUAGCCCAAGGUCACCCAGCAGCUGCAGGUGGAGGAGUGGGGAAGCGAACCCAGUUCACCAGAUUACGAGGCCCACCGCUCCUAACCACUACACCACACUGGCUCUCUGGAGAACAGCCUUUAUCAAAGGUGUCAUGGGCUUUGAAGACCCUCAAACUCGGGACAAAAGGGAGAAACAUGCUAAGAGGGCUUUGCAAACCCUAACUGUGAUAAACUCCCACCUGGAAACCUACAUCUCCACUGUGGAAGGACGUGUGGAUCCAGAAUUGUCCACCACAGAUACUUAUGGACUCACUGUUAAAACUGUGUUCAUGGAAGACUAUCUUACUCGGCUAUGAGUGAUCGCCAAAGAAGAAGGUCUAUUAGGCCAAAUAAGGCACUGCCCCACCAACCACGGACUGCACUCAGCUAGCUAUAACUGAUCUUUACUGAUCAUUGAGAGGAGAGUGUUGAGAGGAACUCAAGUUCUUCUUGUGUGUUUCCCAGAGGCAUCUGGUGGACCACUGUGAGAACAGGAUGUUGGAUGAGAUGUGCUACCGGCCUGAUCCAGCAGUACACAUUUGUUCUUAACUGAAGUCCCUUAGAUCUAAUCCUGCCCACUGGAGUCUUUUCCCUUUUCUGUGUAAUGCUAUUCUGAGGGAUGCUAUCAAGUGGGGCUUCAACCAUGCCCCACUGGGCUUAUUUGAUGCAACAUUUGCAUUCCAUAAUAUUAAAUUUCCCAUCUGAAUUCCAGGAAACCUUAUAUUCAGGUCACUGUUAGGUCCUUUUUGGAAUGACUGAAACAAUAUGAAGCAACCAAACUUGAAACACUUUCUUUUUCUUUCUUUUUCUUUUGGUGAAGUAACAGAGCCCACAUGUGAUGUCCUAAUUUCUAUUUAAAUGCUAAUUGGACUACGUCUUCAUGAUAUAGCGAGGCACUAUAAAAUAAAUAUUGGGGGUAUGGAUGCUGCUUAUGAAAAUGCAUAAAUUGUCACUGAGGAUUAUUACAUGCAGGAUCCUUUAUUCUCUGUACAUUUGUUUAUCCAAUUCAUUAGAAAUCUGUGUCCUUCAUUAAUUCAAUGAUUUUUUAAAGGCUAGGUAAAGGUCGUAUUAAUCAUAAAACGACAUAGGUGUGAUAAUCUCUCCUGUAUAACAACAGAGUUCCCCCCACUAAGAAAGUCUCACCCACCCAUACAGGGAAUGCAAAUGUAUGCCAUUAUGCUUGUUUGUCAAUGGAUGCAGAAGCUUAGUCUAUGCUUGUGUCUUAAGAUUUAGCAUAAUUUUGCAUUGCUGCCUCUCCUAACCCCAUUUCUUUAACAUGGCAGAGAAUGAAUGGGCACACCAGUCAGUUGGGGGGGGGGAGAUUUCCCAGUCUAACUGCAGUAAAAGUAUAGCAUUGCCUCUAAUGCUAGUCAUAUUCAGAGGAAGCCUAUUGGAAUUAAUGAGAUGUUGUUUCUCAGCUAGGAGAACCAGGAAGAACUGGCCUUACACUAAACCCCGGGUCAGGCUUCAUUUGAGGGCAGGGAGCUGGAAUCUUGAGGAAGAUUAGGGACCCCCUAUGCUUACGAGUUGCAACAUAGUCGUGGUUUUCACAAAAACAGCACCCUUUUUCUUUUCCGAAUAACGAAACUGAGCAACCUGGAGAAAAAUGUGUAGCCUGAGAGUGGAAAAGAGUUUGUGAAUCUUUUGCUUUGAUAGGCAGGCCUAUUUUUUAAUCAGAGUGUGUUGUUUUCCAAGGCCACUCCAAUCACAGCGAUUUGAGGGAGGGUUGUUGAAAUAAAUAAAUAGCUGUUCUGCAUGUGGUCAUCAUUCCCUGAGUUUUAGCUAUGAGAGCAGGGAGUAAGCAGACGAAUUAAAUUAUUGUAGUGGUCUUCCUUUUGCGGAAUUUUUGUAGGCACAGCUCUAGGCUUUAAAGUGCAGGUUUUUGUUUGUGUGUGUCCAACACUUUCUCUGGGAAAGCCAGUGUUUUACUGCUGAAUUGGAGCAAAUGGCAAUCAAAUUUUCCAUGGAUUUCUGCUCCAAUUAGCAGUCAAACAAUUUGAAAUCAUAGUGUUUUCUCUCUCCCAUUUCUGUUUAGCAAAGGGUUCUCUCAGGAAGAGAGGUGCAGUGAGAACAAACUGUGAUGCUCCCCCACUUUUUAUAAAGAAGUUCUUUUGAAAAAGCAACCUAGCACAAUAGCCCCGGGAACUAUUUGAACUUUAGUAGGUUUCUUACCCAGGGGUGCAGCUCCCUUGUCUCCCUAACUUUCAAACUCAUUGUCUACAAAAAAAGAAAACAAAUUAAGAGAGGAAACAACAGAUUUCUGUUUUCCCUUCCCGAAAUGGUAAAGUCUGUUCUUGCAGGAAAACUGCUACACCUAUCUUUCUGACAUUUGGCAGACUUGCAGAAUCGAUCAACCUCCACAUUUGAUCUGCCUGAAAUUUGAAAAGCUUAAUCUUCUCUUGAAGGCGCCUUUGCCUGCAAAUUUCAUUCACUUGUGUGAAAACAAUAGACUCUCCAUUAUAGUCAAUGGGAGUUAAACAGAGCUUUGGAUUUAGUAGAACAGGUUUGGACCCAAAUAAUGAAUUGAAUUUGAGUGACACAGAGCGGAUCUGAAACAGAUUGGGCUGCUUCCAAACACUACAGAUAUAAGGAAAAUCUUGCGGUUGCCGCACAACUUUAACAAAUACUCUCUUAGUUCCAUAUCCAGGUCAAAAGCCAGACUGGAAUGACCCACAAAACCAACACCAUCCAGAUGUCCCCAUAGCUGCAGCAUGACCUAUCUCCUCUUUUGCUCUUUCCAGGCAAAAGCCGUCUUCUAUUACCAAGGCUAUUUCCACAGUAUGCAUUAGAUCAACCUCAGGAGCCUGACAGCAAAUGGAUUUCCCAGUUCCGAAAGUGGCUUUCGGCUCCGCAAUGACUUGCUAAUUCUGUAUUGGGUAAGAAAUUUUGUAUUUGCAGGGGCGGAAAUUGUUUUUGAUUUUCCCCUCUCCUUACUCUACUCAUAAAUCAAAAUUGGCUGAGGGACUUUGCUCAGUCUUAAGGUCAAAAGGGGAAUAAUUCAGAAAGUUUGCAAGGGAGCAGACGGGAGCUAUAAUGGAAAAAUUGCUGCGAAGCCCAUAGAUAUGGUUGAAAAUAUAUUGCCAUUUUGGAGCUUGAUGUCUUACAAGAGGCAAUGCAACACAAAUAGUAGCAUCGCCUAUAGGUAAUACUGUAGGUUUGGGGAAGACUUGGUGUAGAGGUGGAGGAGCUUGAAUGGUGGGUCCUGGGUAGGGGUAGAAGCAUUUCCAGGGGAGAUCUGGUGAUCCUUUCCCAGCCACAUCUCCUCCUGGACAACCUUCUGGGACCACAUGCCAGUGGUGGUCCAGCCAAGAAGCAAAAGUGUGUAGAGUAACAGUUUUGGGUUUUUACAUCAAACAGGUUUGAGGCUGAGCUGGAAAUAUCAGUAGGUCUCCAUUGCAAAGAGGGGGCAAUGCUGAUGGAGUCUCCUUGCACAUGAAAACAUCCUCUAUUUGAAGGGCUACCUGGUCCAAGCCCAGUUUAAAGAGAAAGCAGAGCAGGUGUCUUGAUGCUGGCCACCAGCAGUGGCCAUCUGCAUAACAGACAGAGCAGGAACACUGGUCUCUUGGACAUUUCCACUGACUAUGGUGAGAUGUACUGUAUAGUAUAGGGAUCAGUGCUAUUUUUCUUGAAAAAGUGGUACCAGAACUCACCAAUAAUAAUAAUAAUUAUUAUUAUUUAUUAUUUAUACCCCGCCCAUCUGGCUGGGCUUCCCCAGCCACUCUGGGCGGCUUCCAAAAAAAUAUUAAAAUGCUGUAAUACAUCAAACAUUAAAAGCUUCCCUAAACAGGGCUGCCUUCAGAUGUCUUCUAAAAGUCUGGUAGUUGUUCUCUUUGACAUCUGGUGGGAGGGCUUUCCACAGGGAGGGCGCCACUACUGAGAAGGCCCUCUGCCUGGUUCCCUGUAACUUGGCUUCUCGCAGUAAGGGAACCGCCAGAAGGCCCUCGGCGCUGGACCUCAGUGUCCGGGUAGAACGAUGCUCCUUCAGGUAUACUGGACCGAGGCUGUUUAGGGCUUUAAAGGUCAGCACCAACACUUUGAGUUGUGCUCGGAAACGUACUGGGAGCCAAUGUAGGUCAUUCAAGACCGGUGUUAUAUGGUCUCCGCGGCCGCUCCCAGUCACCAGUGUAGCUGCUGCGUUCUGGAUUAGUUGUAGUUUCCGGGUCACCUUCAAAGGUAGCCCCACGUAGAGCGCAUUGCAGUAGUCCAAGCGGGAGAUAACCAGAGCAUGCACCACUCUGGCGAGGCAGUCUGCAGGCAGAUAGGGUCUCAGCCUACGUACCAGAUGGAGCUGGUAAACAGCUGCCCUGGACACAGAUUUGACCUGUGCUUCCAUGGACAGCUGUGAGUCCAAAAUGACUCCCAGGCUGCGCACCUGGUCCUUCAGGGGCACAGUUACCCCAUUCAGUUCUCUUACAAUGGCAGUGGUGCCCACCUGAGAGAUGCCAUAACCGAGUUCCGGUGAGUUCUGGCUGAAAGGAAGCCCUGAUCGUGAUUAUGUCUGAUUUUAAAUCUCUGUGUGUAUAUUAGCACAUGUAAAUCUGUCCUCUUUUGCCCUUCUUUUUGCUGUGGGGUGGUUGGUGAAUAAGUAGCAAUUCUCCAAACCCUUCCUGCCUUGCGAGAUAUGAUGCUUUUUGUUGGGUUGUUGCUAUUCAAGUCGCAGAAUCACUUUUCAGAAGGGGAAGCUUCUGCAGACUAUGGAGAGUGUUAUCCCAGCAUUGUGAAAACCUGGGUCUUGCUAUUGAUAUAAAUAGGACUCCCCCCCCCGCCCCAGUUCCAGCACCUCUCAGGUGGGCACCAUUGCCAUUAUAAUAAUAAAUAAUAAUAAUAAUAAUAGAAAUUAUUUAUACCCCACCCUCCCCAGCCAAGACCAGGCUCAGGGCAGUUAACACCCGAUAUAAAAACAAAUUGAUUGAAAUACAACUUAAAAACAAGAUUAAAAUACAACAUUAAAAUACAGCCACAUUUCAAUGGAAACUCAAAUCAAAAACUUUUUUGGGGAUGAAAGUGUCAAGUCUUCACCAAGGCUAAUUUAUAAGAGAACAAGGGAACUGUUCUGCGCCAUUUUUUCCUAGAAAAAAUAGCACUGGAUAUAAAUAUUACGAAUAAAUUAGGUGAGCCCACUUUGCCAUGUGACUAGAUCUGGUUCAGUCCUUGGCAUCUCCAGGUAGAGUUGGGAGAGAUUCCUGCCUAGAACCCUGGAGAGUUGCUGCCAGCCAGAGCAGACAGUGCUAAGUUAGAUGGGCCAAUGGUUUGACUCCGUGUCAGAUGGCUUCCAGUGUUCACAGUCCUUGCUAUACAUGUUCUCAGAAAGCCACUCCCGACAUAAGGGGGGGGUUGCGGGCUCACGCCCACCUACAUCCGCGCGGGGCUGGCUACGGCCUCGCACGACUUGGGAAUCCUCGGGCUGCGUCAUUCCCUGCGCCAGCCAAUCGCCUGGCGGCAGGGGUGGGGCUAAAGGGGGUCAUUUAAGGUUGGGGCAGCCCGAGAUCGCCCCUUUCUUUCUCUCGUCCCACUGCGGUUUCCCACCCAACCACCCUCUAGGUUUUCCCUCGGACUUGCUAUGGACCUCGGUUGGUCGCCGCAAGGGGCCUGGUAGGAGUUUUUCCACUUGGCUAAUUGGCAUUGUUUUGGAAGCCAUUUGGUUUUUUCGCCUACCUAGUAGCAAAACGUCACAACGCCUUUGGUUUUGGCGGUUAGGCAUUGGUAGGGGAUGCAGAUGAGUCGGGGGGGGAGGAGCGCCAUCACCUCCCCCAAAUGCUUAGGGGUAGUCCAAUAAAGGACUCCCUGGGGCGUUGCCUCGUCCGAAACCUAUGGAAGCUAGGGCCUAAAGCGCGCUCCCGAGCGGUGACCCCUCGGGGAGCGCCUAGGGAUGUGCAUCUCAGAGGCUCCCCCUGGUGUUAACCCUUUCCGGUUCUAUGCCGGAUAGUCUGAUAGUACCAAUGCCUAAAGCCAAUACCACUCUUACCUGUAACCAAUAAAGUUGUGGCCAUUUUUCGCCCAUUAACCUAAAUUCUGGUGUCCAGUGUCUUUAUUCAUUCCAACUGGGGGGGGGGAAUCGCCACGCAAGUAAGUUUCACUAUGUUUAACGAGGCUUAUUGCUGGUUAAGUGGGCAUAGGAUUGCAGCCCUAGACACUUCUGCAUUUUACAGCAAAAUGAUGGGAGUUAAGAACCAGCUGUCUCCCCCCUAUCCCCACGCUCAUCUCAUCUCCAUAACUGCCCAAGAUGUCCCUUUUACAACCAGGCAGGUGAAUGUCAGAUCUUUAAUGCAACACGUAAGUGACACUGGCUGCGGCUAAAUUACAACGACCCCUCUUUAAAGGCACAACGUGCUUUCUUUUUUUAUUACGGCUACUGUAGAGUUUAAGAUGAACUUUUAAAAAGCAGGUAACACUCGUGGCAAACCUCCUCCCCCAACCACCCAAAAAGCUCUCUGCUUAAACUGUUUUUGUGUUUAAUGUCAUCAUGCCCGAAGGACUGGACUUGGGUAAAUGUUAACAUUAAUAUGGGAUGGCAUGCUAGAUAAAUAAAAUUUAUGAAUGUCAUGAUGGCUACUUGGAAAAAUGGCUUUGGAGAGGAUUAGAAACUGAUGCAGAGGGCACGUUAAUCAGGAGCUACCGAUCGCAAGAGCCAGGAACAUAAUCUCCACAUUCAGGAAUGCCAGCUGUUGGAGGCAAAUGGCAAGGGAUUGGCAGGAAGAGCAUAAGAAGAGUCCUUGAUGGAUCAUGCCAAAGGCCUAUCUAGUCUGGCAUCCUGUUCUCACUGUGGCCAGCCUGUAUGUGAAGCCUGCAAACAGGACCUAAGCACAGGUGCACUCUCCUUACUUGCAAACCCCACAGCUUGGGAACCUCUGUCUUGCUGGAUUCCAGGCACCAUUCAGGGACUGACUAGAUGAGGAGGAGUAGAAGCCGGCUGACUCCCAGGGAAAGAACUGUGAUGGCCUGGGUCUCAGGCUCGGACUCGGAGCCAGAGGAGUCUCAGUCCGCACCGGAUCCUUUGCCUCAGGCAUCAUCUGAACCAAGUCUGCGGCCUGAUCCUGAAGAGGCCCAGUCUGCACAGGUUCCCCUGCAACAAACACCAGCUGGGCCGAGUCAGGGGCCUGAGCCUGCCCUGGCUCCAGAUGCGGGGAUUACCUCGUUGCCUCCAGCUGGGCAAUCACUUAUAGCUGCUCCACUACCUGUUGGGUCAGGAGAGGCUGAGGUGGCCUCUGGGUCUAGUAACCCACCGACAUCUCCCGAGCUGCAGAGACUGAGGUCUGAGAGAAGGAGAGACCUGAGUACUCGCAGGAGGAGUACUCGCCUUCGGGCGAGACAGGGAGGUGAGUCACCGGGGGAAUCAGGACUGGCUGUUACCCCAACAGAGAUAAAAGGCUGCUCUGGACCCUGCCCCAGGUUGCGGGAGCAACGUUGCUGUUUGCCAGAACCUGCCUGUGAUCCUGUGCCUGACCUCACCUGGUUUUCUGCCUAGGCCCUGUUGGACUGACUCCUCGCGGAACCCUUGGAUUCGGGACCAGACCUGGACGUGUUACUUGGGUUACCCUCAGGCCCAGCACAAGAACAGAGGAUAGGAUUUGGAUCCUGUUCCCUGGUGGUGGGAAAUUGGCCACUCCCCAGAGAAGGGGAAGAACUGGGAAGUACUGGAGGCUGGGAGCUUGAGGGAUAGGAAGCAGGCAGGUGCCCCAUCACAGAGCAAGGACAGGGACCAGGCUUGGCAGUUCUACCAUUACACAGAAUUAAAAUUCAAACAUCCAUAAUUUAAAUACAAGAUAAAACAAUACUGUUGAAAUAUAAACACCCAUAAUUUAAAUAUGCAAAUAAAGCAACCUCAUUAAAACAACACAGCAGGGGAGUCAGGUUGAGAGAGCAAGGGAACGCCUGUGUAAACAGGUGAAUCUUCAAACAUUGCGAAUAUUCAGCACCCUUCGGGGGAUGGAGGAAUCUGUCAGUUCCAGUUUCUCUCAGCUUUCAUUUUUUCAGUCUUGUUCAAUUUACCCCAUUUCCACACCAGUUUGUGAAGAUAAAAAAAUCAAGUGCACAUGAAUUUUUCUUUACUAAUUUCCAUGUGUGUUGCUCCUAAUGUUUUUGUACACAAUUUUGCAAAAUAUACUUUUUUGGAAGCACUUUUCCCUAAUAGAAUGCAUUUUUUGUACGGUACUCUCACCAAUGUAUGCAUUUUUAUGGACCAUUUCCUGUAAUAUAUGCAUUUUUGCACACAUUUUGAGGUUGAAGAGCCAUAUCACAAAAUUCAGAAAAGUGCAAAUCUUGAAAGGUAGCUGUUUUUCAGUUUGUGUAUUGGUUUAGUCACUGGAAAUUAGGUAGGUUCCCAUAAAAGGGCAAACAUAAUGAAUUCUGUUCCCUGACCUUUACUUGAACUCUAAUUUUCAUGACUAAGGACAUAAGAACAGGAGAGAAGAUCUACAGAGGACUAAGUAGGUAGGGGGAGGUUUGCAUCCUCCUUGUGUUGCUUGGUCUGUUCUUCUGGUUAGCAAGAGUGUGUCUGUCUUUUUGCUGCAUCAUUUUGUUUGACCUUUAUGAUAUCUGCCUGCAGUUAAAAGAGUCUGUGCUGAUAGCAGUGUGUGGGGUACUGCUUGACUGCUGGCUGAGUGAAUUCAUUCUACGUUCUAAAUCUUAUACAGUGGUACCUUGGGUUACAUACGCUUCAGGUUACUCCACUAACCCAGAAAUAGUGCUUCAGGUUAAGAACAGUUUCAGGUUAAGUACAGACCUCCGGAACGAAUUAAGUACUUAACCCGAGGUAAAAGGUAAAGGAAAAGGUACCCCUGCCCGAAGGCCAGUUGUGUCCGACUCUAGGGUUGUGCGCCCAUCUCACUCUAUAGGCCGGGGGCCAGCGCUGUCCGGAGACACUUCUGGGUCACGUGGCCAGCGUGACGAAGCUGCUCUGGUGAGCCGGCACCAGAGCAGCACACGGAAACGCCGUUUACCUUCCCGCUAGAAAGCGGUCCCUAUUUAUCUACUUGCAAUUAUGGGUGCUUUCGAACUGCUAGGUGGGCAGGAGCUGGGACCGAAAGACGGGAGCUCACCCUGCCGCGGGGAUUCGAACCGUCGACCAUGCAAUCGGCAAGCCCUAGGCACUGAGGUUUUACCCACAGCGCCACCCGCGUCCCACUGUACCCGUGGGUACAGAGGUACCACUGUAUUAAUAAUCCAAAAAUUGAGAGAGCUAUGUACAAGAUCUACUACAGAAGACACAAACAUAAAACUCAUUCAAAUUGUGUCCAAAAGGAAGAUACAGUCUUUAAAUGUUCCUUUAGUCAGGCUCCUGUAGAUAUCAGCAAAGGUAAGUUGGAUCAAACAGUGUCGGUGAUGUUACACUCAAGGGUUAAAUAUCAACGAGGAUAAGUUUGUUGGUGAUGUUAUGCACAAGAGUUAGACAGGGUGCCGGCGUUUGUCACCUGUUUCGCCCAUGAAGAGUCUCGGGCUUCUUCAGUAAAUUCUCUCUCACGGUUUGGAUUAUUAAUAUAAGAUUUAGAAUGUAGAAUGUUUUUUAGUGUGUUGUGUGCCGCUUAUGUGCUGCUCACUUUAUACUGGUCUACUACCAGAAUUGGUUCAUUUCUUCAGGCUGAGUGAAUUCAGCUGGGGUAUGGUGAGGUCCAAGGCCUGCCUUGCUAUAACAACAGAUCAGUCCAUAAUAAGACCAUGCCCAUCCAUGACUUGAUUGUGGAUGAACAGGGUGAUCUGGCUUGCAUUACUGAGACUUGGAAGAGUGAGUGAGCUGGGUGAGCCUGACCAUACUCAGCUGUGCCCACCUGGGCACACCACUAGGCUAGACUGGGGUGGGGUCAAGUGGGUGUUGUCAUUGUCCAUAAAAGCACCAUCUCCUUGACCAGAAAACCUCUUGAUGCUUGUGUUGGCUCAGAGAGACAGAUUGGGGAUCCUGCUGGUCUACUCACCACCCUGUUGCCUGGCAGCAUCCUUGGGCUCACCAAGAUAGUCUCUGGGGGACUUCGAUAUCCAUACAGAGGCUGCUGUCAGGCCAGAUGGAGACUUCAUGGUCUCCAUGACAACUAAGGGUCUCUCUCAAAUGGUCAUUGAUCCAAUACAUCAUGCAGGGCAGAUCCUUGAUGUAGUCUUUGUCCCAAGUGAUAUGAGGGAUGGACCAAGGAUGGCAAGGGGAAGACAAUGCAUUCUUUUGUCAUGGUUGGACCAUUAUCAGGCUAAGUUUGGACUGAUGGUGACAAUUCCCCACUGUAAGGGUAGUGGGCCUGUUUGGAUGGCCUUCCCAUGGAGACCAAUAGAAACUGAUGUGUUCCUGAAUGCUCUGGAGUGGAACUCUUUCUCCAGUGGAGAAAGCUGGCAAUCCUGUUGAAGCCUCACUGUGGAACAGCAAGCAAUAGUCAGUUGACAUAAUUACUUCUGAGCAUCCUCUCUGAUGCUGUGGGGCCCAAGCAGCACCUUGAUAUUCUGGCCACCUCUGGGCUGUGAAGCAAGCUGGAUGUCAGGGAUGUGGCUGAAUCAAAUGCCUGGGAAGAGUCUGACUCUGGAGACGAGGGAAUGCAAUCACAGACAGAGCAGGAGUGAGUCAGUUCGGCCCCCCUUCAUCAAGAGUUCCCAGAUUCAGAACAGCAGACUCGGAAACCAUACAAGCAGAGGGAGAGGAGGAGAUAGACAGCAUUGAGGGAGUUGCUAUGCAACCAGGAGGGAGGCAGCAUUUAGAGGGCUCUUCUUUUGAGAGUGGGGGGGGGAGUCCACCGACCUUCUCCCCGAACCAGAAGAGCUGAAAGGGUUAAAAUGCAAUGGAAGUACAAGAGAGGAAGGACUGGACUUUGGCACCCUUCGUGCUGUGAAAGGGGCGGAGACUCAGAGUGACCAACUUGUAGCUAAGAGUGGCAGGCUCAGAGCCGCUCUCUGGAUGUUAAUGGUAAAUAAACAUACCAUAAAACUGCCAGAGACUCAUUAAUUCUUAUUGGAGCUUGCUUGCCUGCCUGAGAUCAUUACACUGGAUGGAAACUAGAGCGCAAGUGGUAAAAGUCUCUCUUUGAAGCCAACCAAAUGUUGGUUACAACACAUAAUAAUAAUAAUAAUAAUAAUAAUAAUAAUAAUAAUUUAUUAUUUAUACCCCGCUCAUCUGGCUAGGCUUCCUCAGCGACUCUGGGUGGCUUCCAACCAAAUAUUAAAAUACAGUAAUACAUCAAACAUUAAAAGCUUCCCUAAACAGGGCUGCCUUCAGAUGUCUUCUAAAAGUCUGGUAGUUGUUGUUCUCUUUGGCAUCUGGUGGGAGGGUGUUCCACAGGGCAGGCGCCACCACCGAGAAGACCCUCUGCCUGGUUCCCUGUAACUUGGCUUCUUGCAGUGAGGGAACCGCCAGAAGGCCCUCAAAGCUGGACCGCAGUGUCCGGGUAGAAUGAUGGGGGUGGAGACGGUCCUUCAGGUAUACUGGACCGAGGCCAUUUAGGACUUUAAAAGUCAGCACCAACACUUUGAAUUGUGCUCGGAAACGUACUGGGAGCCAAUGCAGGUCUUUCAAGACCAGUGUUAUGUGGUCUUGGUGGCCGCUCCCAGUCAUGCUCAUCAUGUGGAAGUGUAUGCUGAAAAGGAGGCUUAUUUUGCAGCUUGGAUUGAAUCCUCUAGUAUUCACCCGGCAGAGUUAUUUAAGAGAUUCUGGUGCUUACUGGCUUCCAUGGGGGGGACGGGGGACAGAUGGACUCUGGAGCAUCCGAAGACCCAGUAUAAUCAACUGGCUACACACUUUGAGGAUUGUUGUUGUUGUUUAGUCGUUUAGUCGUGUCCGACUCUUCGUGACCCCAUGGACCAGAGCACGCCAGGCACUUCUGUCUUCCACUGCCUCCCGCAGUUUGGUCAGACUCAUGUUUGUAGCUUCAAGAACACUGUCCAACCAUCUCGUCGUCUGUGGUCCCCUUCUCCUUGUGCCCUCCAUUUUCCCCAACAUCAGGGUCUUUUCCAGGGAGUCUUCUCUUCUCAUGAGGUGGCCAAAGUACUGGAGCCUCAGCUUCAGGAUCUGUCCUUCCAGUGAGCACUCAGGGCUGAUUUCCUUCAGAAUGGAUGCGUUUGAUCUUCUUGCAGUCCAUGGGACUCUCAAGAGUCUCCUCCAGCACCAUAAUUCAACACUUUGAGGAUACAUUCACUCAAUUUCUAAGUGAUCUUGACACUGCACUUGCUGUAGCUCUGGUUAGAUAAAUAUAUUUUGUAUGAAUGGCCCUCUGUAAGAAAAUCCAAACCAUUGAUUAGAGCAAUUAUUGUGUAAAUGCUUUGUAAUUUAUGCGAUAAACACAGUGAUUGUGUGGAUGUUUUAAGGAAGCAAAGCUACAUUUCUCAUGCGAGGGAGCGGCAAUGAUAGAUCUGUACUGGCAGUACUGAGAAGUUUUCCAGAAUGAGGUCUGUGUGCAGCUAACACAGGAAUUUGUUCAGGCUUAGUUGGAUGUUCUGGUUGGAAAUGUCAACACCAACAAAGAGUAAUGGUUGGAUGGGGGGGCAGGGAAAUGAACACAUCAGCUACCAUAUGGCCAACGGGUUGCUCCGAGUUGUGAGUUGGGAUUAAUUCUUCCUGAACUACAAUGCAAACACAGAGAAGAGAUGCUCUCAGAAGAAAAAAAAAAGAGACAGAAGGAAAAAAAGGGCUUGAUUACAGAGCCACAAAUAGACAGGCUCAAAAGCUCAGCCAGCAUUUUGGCUCUCAUAAGUGUGGCCUGAUGGCUUUCUCUGAGCUUGUGCUGCUGUCUUGUUUAAUAUUCUCAUGCCAGCAAUGCCAGAUGCAAUUAACCUGAUAUGUAUCAUUUAGGUGCCUUGCCAAGCUUUCCUCCAUUAGCAAGUGUCAGACGUGGAAAGGUCACUACAGAAUGCUAUUCAAAAAAGAAAACAAGCAAUGCUGAGGCAAAUAUCGGGGAGCUGGAGGUGUAAUAUGUGGAAGCAGGUAGGCAAAAGCUAGGUUGGAAGGACUCUAUCUAUCUAUCUAUCUAUCUAUCUAUUUAUCUAAUCUAUCAUCUAUCUAUCUAUCAUCUAUCUAUCUAUCUAUCUAUCUAAUCUAUCAUCUAUCUAUCUAUCUAUCUAUAUCUAUCAUCUAUCUAUCAUCUAUCAUCUAUCUAUAUCUAUCAUAUACCUAUCUAUCUAUCUGGAGCUGGAGGUGUAAUAGGUGGAAGCAGGUGGGCAAAAGCUAGGUUGGCAGGUCUAUCUAUAUCAUGGGUAGGCAAAAUAAGGCCUGGGGGCCGGAUCCGGCCCAAUCACCUUCUAAAUCCAGCCCGUGGAUGUUCCAGGAAUCAGUGUGAUUUUACAUCAGUAGAAUGUGUGCUUUUAUUUAAAAUGUAUCUCUGGGUUAUUUGUGGGGCAUAGGAAUUCAUCCCUCCCCCAAAUAUAGUCCAGCCCCCCACAAGGUCUGAGGGACAGUGGACCGGCCCUCUGCUGAAAAAGUUUGCUGACCCCUGAUCUAUAUCUAUCUAUCUAUAUCUAUCUAUCUAUCAUCUAUCUAUCUCUAUCUAUUUAUCUCUAUCAUCUAUCUAUCUAUCUAUCUAUCAUCUAUCUAUAUCUAUUUAUCAUCUAUCUAUAUGUAUCUAUCAUCUAUCUAUAUCUAUCUAUCUAUCUAUCUAUCUAUCUAUCUAUCUAUCUAUCUAUCAUCUAUCUAUCUAUCUAUCUAUCUAUCUAUCUAUCUAUCUAUCAUCUAUCUAUCUAUCUAUCUAUCUCUCUAUCUAUCUAUCUAUCAUCUAUCUAUCUAUCUAUCAUCUAUCUAGCUAGCUAUCUAUCUAGCUAUCUAUCUAGCUAUCUAGCUAUCUAUCUAUCAUCUCUAUCUAUCUAUCUAUCUAUCUAUCUAUCUAUCUAUCAUCAUCUAUCUAUCUAUCUAUCAUCUAUCUAUCUAUCUAUCUAUCUAUCUAUCUAUCUAUCUAUCAUCUAUCUAUCCAGUCUGAUGUAGUUGUUAGAGUGGUGGACCAGCACUGGAGAGACCCAAGUUCAGAUCCCUACCCAUUCAUGAAGCUUGGACCCAUCACUACGGGCUCAUCCACACUUCCCUUUUCCCUAUGAUUUCUAGUCAUGGGUGGGGAGCGGGCAGUGCUGUGAUCUAAACCAUUGAGCCUCUUGGGCUUGCUGAUCGGAAGGUCAGUGGUUUGAAUCUCAUGACGGGGUGAGCUCUCGUUGCUCUGUCCCAGCUCCUGCCAACCUUGCAGUUCGAAAGCACACCAGUGCAAGUAGAUAAAUAGGUACCGCUGCGGUGGGAAGGUAAACAGCAUUCUGUGCCCUCUGCUUUCCAUCAUGGUGUUCCAUUGCACCAGAAGCGGUUUAGUCAUGCUGGCCACAUGACCUGGAAAGCUGUCUGUGGACAAACGCCAGCUCCCUCAGCCUGAAAGCAAGAUGAGCGUUACAACCCCAUAGUUGCUUUUGGGGUCCUUUACCUUUUACCUUUUCUAGUCAUGGCUCUGAGAGGCUCUUUUGUCCCUCUGCUUCCCCUGGGAAAACCUACUGUUUCCACCUGAAUUGGAACAAAUGUCCAUCAGGCAUAUUGCAGAUGGAUAUUUGUUUUGAUUCAGCAGUAAACUGCAGGUUUUCCUGGGGGAAAGGACAGGACAAAAUGAAAACCUCUUGGCCCCAUGACUAGACAUCAUGGGCAAACAAUAAAUCAUGGAACAAACAAAGAAAUUGUGGGACAAACAGAAGUGUGAAUGAGCGCUAUGCCUCAGUUUAAUUUACCUCACAGUUUUGUUUGAAGGUAAAAAUGGGGGAGAACCAUCACUUAAUGCUUAGCUGCUUGGAGGAACCGUGGGAGAUGAAAUAAAUUCAUAUCUUUGCAUUUCUAUUCUGAUUCUUAAGGUUUAUUUGAAGCUUCACAUGUCUGAGCCUUGAAUGAACUAUAUUUCUCAGUGUUUAGGAAAAGUGUAUUUGUGCUGACUUGUUUGCAGAAAGCUUGUGCGGAGGUUAGACUAUAUUCUGGUUUAACUGAACAUUCAUCACGAUUGGUUUAUGGGGUAGUCAUAUGACAAUGAACCUCCAUCGUAAUUUGCUUGCAGGGUGAAUAGACAUCUUCCUAUUUCAUCUCACACUUUUCAGCGCAUUUCCCAGUUACUUUCCUAACCACAAAAACUUACUUUAAAAAAAUCAAAGAAGUUGAUUUGUUGAGGGUAGGGUGACAGAGUGCUUUAACCCACUUUAGGUGUGCAAACCAAAUUUCUUAUAUGAAUGCCCCUCUUACAAAACAGUGACAGCCUGGAGACCCACUUCCUUCAAAAUAUGGCACACCAGACUUAGUCCUUUGAGAGGCGCUGUUGCUUAUUCUGCUGAAUGGGGCAUUGGACACCAGUCCUAAGGUCCUUUCCUGUUGGCUCCAGGGCUCUGCCUUUCAGAAUCUAUGACUCCUCCCCAGUGAAUUAGGUUUGGUGGGAUAAUCAGGCCCCUUUGAACCCAAGAAUUGCACGUCUCCAGGCUGCGUUCCCGCUGGCAAUCGGAUCGACUUCAAACAGUUCUGCCACGCUGAGCUCCAAAAGCAGGACAAAUCCUUCUGUUCACUCUUGUCUUCGUUUCUCCCCCUUUUAUGCUUUGUACCUCAUCUCAGAAGAUUUAACAGCCACCAGGUUUUUGGCUUUCAUGCCUGUGUGAAGGUGAGGGAACAGGCACGCUCGUCUCCAAGAUGAAUAAAGACUCAGAAUGGAAAUGGCGGCAGAGGGAGGAGAAAGGGAGAAAAUGAGCAAAACAGGCGAGGAAAGAAGAGCAAUGGGGGGAGACGUGAUUGCUUAAUUACACUCUGAACUUUUAUCUGCAGAGCCUUGGAUCGCACCCUAAUGAAAGCAAAUGGCAUCCAGAGAGGCAUGGUGCAGAUGGAGACCCAGUACAAACAGUUCUGGGCAAGCGAUUGCUGGCAAGGAUUUGUGUGUGUGUGUGUGUGUGGAAACUUUUCUAGGGUGUGCAUGGGAAAAGGUAAGGAUUUCCAGAGCUUCAGAAAGAACUUGUGAAAUUCUGGUAGUAACAGCUUACAAUGGUCAUUGGAACGUGGGCUGCAUUCCCAUGACAGGGUCAGUGUGGCAUCAGGAUGAGAGUGUUAGUCAAGAUAUGGCAGACCAGGGUUCAAAUCCCCCACUCAGCCAUGAAGCUUACUGGGUGACGUAUGACCAUCACUCACUUUUUGUCUAACACUGAGGGUUGUUUUGAAGAUAAAAUGGGAAUGCAGAGAAUUUUGUAUGCCAUCUCGAGCUCCUAGGAGUAAAUGUGCGCUAGAGAUGUAAUGAACCAAUGAAUAAAAAUAAUAAACAAUAUAUUCCAUUUUCACAUGUUAAUUCUCACAUUAUCUUUGGGGUUUCCACGCAAUGGAAAAGCCAUUUCCAGGACUUUAGUGACCAUCUACAUCAGUUCUGAGAAUCUGCUGUGUGAAAAGUAUGAUCUGAAAGAUGUGGGAGGCUGAAGUUCAAUGAUAAUAAUAAUAAUAAUAAUAAUAAUAAUAAUAAUAAUAAUAAUUACUUAUACCCCACCCCAGCCACUCUGGGCAGUUUCCCCAGCCACUCUGGGCGGCUUCCAACAAAAUAUUAAAAUACAAUAGUCCUUCAGAUAUUAAAAGCUUCCCUAAACAGGGCUGUCUGCAUAUGUCUCCUAAAAGUCUAGUAGUAGUUUUUUCCUUUGACAUCUGAUGGGAGGGUGUUCCACAGGGCGGGUGCCACUACCAAGAAGGCCCUCUGCCUGGUUCCCUGUAACUUCACUUCUUGCAGUGAGGGAACUGCCAGAAGGCCCUCGGUGCUAGACCUCAGUGUAAUAAUAAUAAUAAUAAUAAUAAUAAUAAUAAUAAGUAUAGAAAUAAAAAAUAUUGGGUUUUAAGGCCAAAACUAGAGUAUUGUUCCUCAACUGAUUAAUGUGUGCUAUUAACUUUAAUACAGAUUAAGUGCAGUGGGCAGCAUAAAAAGCCAGAAAGAGUAUAACCCUGGGCUUAUGAUUGUUUAUAAAUGACAAUGAAGGAAUUGAGGGGAUGCCUAUCACAUUUGCAGAUGACACCAAAGUGUAACUAAUGCCACAGAAGACAGAAUCGGGAUUCAAGAUGAAUUUAACAGAUUGAAGAAUCGGGUCCAAACUAAGAAAAUGAAUUUCAGUAGAGGCAAAUGCAAGCUUCUACACUUGGGCAGUAAUAAACAGCUGCACAGAUAUAAGAUGUCUUGCCAGUAGUACAUGAGAAAAGGAUCUAGGGGUCUUGGUGGACCACAAGCUUAACAUGAGUCAACAGUGUGAUGCAGCAGCAAAAACAGCUAGUGCUAUUCUGGCUGAAUCAACGGAAGUUUAGUGUCCCGAUCAAGGGAAGGAAUAGCAAUGCUCUGUUCUGCCUUGGUUAGACCACACCUGGAGUACUGUGUCCUUCUAAGAUAUUGACAAGAAAGAUAUUGACAAGCUAGAACAUGUGCAGAGGAGGGUGACCAAGAUGAUCAAGGGUUUGGAAACCAAGUCUUGUGAGGAACGGCUGGGGGACCUGGGUAUGUUUAGCCUAGAAAAGAGGAGACUGAGAGGAGAUAUGAUAGCCAUCUUCAAAUAUCUGAAGAUGGAAGAUGGAGCAAGUUUGUUUUCUUCUGCUCCGGAGGGCAGGAUCCGAACCAAUGGAUUCGAGUUGCAAGAAAGGAGAUUCUGAUUAAACACCAGGAAGAACUUUCUGGCAGUAAGAGCUACUUAUGCAACAUUCCCUCAAAUUUUUUGUAUAUAUAUAUAUGUAUUUGUAUAUAAUGAGCAUGUGCUGAUCUAUAGUGGAUAUACGCAGAUUUAGAAAGAACAAUGAUCUUUGAAGUUGAAAUAUGGGGGGUGGCAGACUUUGUCUGCAUGACCUUUGUGCCCAGGUGUUAACUGUGGAUGUGUGUGUUAACUGCUUCUGUUAGAAUUCCUGCUCCAUGAUUGCAGUCAUGGGAUUUUGGUCUAUCACAUGACAGUAUAUGUUUUGACUCCACAGAGUGGGAAGUGACGGAGACCGGAUGUUUGUGUUACCGUGUUCCAUGAAGUGGGACUAUUGUCCUUUAUUUUCUCUCUCUUUGGUGUCUGAUGCUAGAGAGAGAGGGAGCCAUGUUGCAGUGCUCUGUGUGUGUUUAUAUGUAAAUAAAGUAGAUUAGCCAAAAUGCUGAGUUGCUGAGGUCUGUUACACAUGAUGCACAAACUCUGCGGAUCCCUAAGUUUGCCGAUGUCUGUUGGCAUCAGUCGCUGUGAUGUUCGGGCAGAAGAAAGCUUUUGAAGCUCCUAAUAGACCAGGAGGGAGGGAACAUGCCAAUCUGGUAUGUGUCUCUACCAGGGUCCUACUCGAGUGUAGGACGAGCUCCUGACAGCUUCAUGGCCCCUAUUGUGGGGCUGUUUAGAAGUGUCUUUGAGAAAGAAACGAGAUGCUACCCCAGUGUUUUGUCUCUAGAAAAAAAGGUGCUGGUACUCUGGGUGGUUGCCCUGGGCACAAAAUUUCCUCGGGGCCAAGAAAAGAAUUACAUGUAAAACAAUUACAUGUUUUACUGGAACUUCAUUAAGAUCUUGGUUUACAGUUAUUACAUGAUGCGUGAUAAUUAAAUGACUUGCUGCAACAACAGACCUUUUUCUGUACUCUUAGUACCUGACUGUGCAUGCUUAUUUUCACCACAGGGUUACACCAUCCAGCAAUCUGCCGGGACACAGGCACUUGCCUCCAGUGCUUUUUCUUUUUCUUUUUAAAGAAAAAAAAGUGCAGGUACUCAUCAUGACGUUGUUAUAGUAACUGCCACAUUUUUAACUUUUUUUGGGGGGGGGAGCUGCUGGUACUGUGUACCCUUGCAUACCCCCAGAAAAAACCACUGUGCUACAGCAGUUGGAAUUUGAUUGCUGGGGCCAACACAAGGAACUUUGGGGUCCAUGUGGGGCUGCCCCAGAUGCUGCCUAUUGGGGAUUGCAACUUGAAGCAUCUCAGUAUUCUUGCUCUGGACUGGGCUUGAUGUUUACCUUCCCACCAGAGUGGUACCUAUUUAUCUACUUGCACUUUGAUGUGCUUUCGAACUGCUAGGUUAGCAGGAGCUGGGACCGAGCAACGCGAGCUCACCCCAUCACGGGGAUUCGAACCGCCAACCUUCUGAUCGGCAAGCCCUGGGCUCUGUGGUUUAACCCACAGCACCACCCGCAACCCUCCUGGACAGGUAGUGCUGCGUAAAAGCUUCCCGUUGAGGCUGGGGCUUGGCCUGAACAACAAAGCUUCCUUGGCUCUUAUUUGUUUCUGUUUGCCCCUCGGUGUGGACUCCCAGAGUCCUUGCCCCUGGCUCACCUCUGACAGCUGCUGAGGGCUUAGCCUUGGCCGUUCUCUGCUUUUUCUCCAUUGCCUUAUAUGAUCUUUAUGUGCAGCUGACAGAUCUGAUAUUCAACUUGCCAGGAAAAAGGGGUCCAAGUUUUUAAAAUGACAGCCAGCUAGCAAGGGAAUAAAUCAAGCUAACUAGUAACAUGCAGGACCCUGUUCUGCAUUCAUCUCCCCCUGCUGUAGAAAUGUUUCUCCUCUUACUUAGCCAGAUACAAAUUAAAAGCAAAAACAAUCCAGCCUCCCUCUAUCAGUUCACUCGGCUGAAUUCUGCAGACUGUUGCGAGAGAAUUACAUUUUGUAGCCGUUGCGAGCAUGGUGUCUUCUAAUUGAGAUGUCUAAAUCGCUUCGAGCAUCCUCAGUUGAAAACCAAUUAAUACAUAUCGCACUCAAAACAGCCCUUUUUGUUAAGGCUCAAUUAAGGGAGAUAUAAUGAGGCCAUCCCAGGUGAAACUCCUGGCACAUGUUGCGUGUGCUCCAUUUUGAAUGAUAGCUGUGACGUGCAGGCUGGCUUUGAACUAGUUUUUUGUCUGUCACUCACGCCCGCAAAAAACCCUAUAGGCGCAGGCAUAAAUGAGAACUUGAUUGACUUUUUAAAAGCUGCCUUAAAUAAGAGAUGAAGUUUAGUUAACUUCCUUAUGGGCAUGGGAAAGCGAUGAUUUACCUUUGCAAUGCUCCCCGUGUCCGUAGUCCUAGCAGACUUUGCCGAGAUAUUAGCAGUCACUGCUUUGGAAUCAUUCUGACCCCUACACAGUGGUUUCCGGCAACCACAGAUGUAUUUAAUUUUUAAUUACUGGUGUGGCAAUUUUUGUUUCUGGCUUAGGAGUGUACUGAGCUGAAUUGAGGAUCUUCUUCUUCUGAUUUCUUUGGCGAUCACUCGUAGCUGAGUAAGAUUGUCUUCCAUAAACACGGUUUUAACAAUGAGUCCAUAAGUGACACUGGAGGCCAAUUCUGGAUCCACACGUCCAUUGAGACAGUGGGGACAUAGGUUUCCGGGCGGGAGUUGAUCACGGUCUGGAUUUGCCAAGCGUGCCUUCCUCCUAGCACGUUUCUCCCUUGCGUCCUGAGUUCGAGUGUCUUCAAAACCCAUGACACCUUUGGUCAAGGCUGUUCUCCAACUGGAGCGCUUGCAGACCAGUGGUUCCCAGUCGUCAGUGUUUAUACUACAUUUUUUUAGAUUUGCCUUGAGACAGUCUUUAAACCUCUUUUGUUAACCACCAACAUUAUACUUUCCAUUUUUAAGUUAGGAAUAGGGUAGUUGCUUUAGAAGACGAUAAUCAGCAUCCACACAACAUGACCAGUCCAACGAAGUUGAUGUUGAAGAAUAAUUGCUUCAACACUGGUGAUCUUUGCUUCUUCCAGUACACUGGCAUUAGUUUGCCUGUCUUCCCAAGUGAUGUGUAAAAAUUUUCGGAGUGUAUUGAGCUGAAUUGAGGAUUAUUCACGUGAUCUGUCACUUAGUUCAUUUAGGAAAUCAUUUCUGGCUUUGCAUUUCCAGCUCAUUUCUUCAGAAUAUGUUACAGCAAAAUACCUGUGGCAGAGGCACAGAGUGCAAGUGGUGCAGUGGCACCGGGUGCGUAGCCGAGGAGGGCACCUUCUGAGUGUUUGCCUAGCUUCUGGAAGGAUGUGUGAGGGCUCUGGCAGGGUCCUAAGUCCUCCUGCCUCCUUCCCAAAGCUGGCCAAGUGCUUACCAGACUUUGGGGACGAGGGAGGCUGAAAAAGGUUCCCUACCUAUGAGCUAAAAUCAUGAAGCUGUCUUCAGCCUGACCAGCAAAAAAGCAACCGCCCCGUGGUGAAAUGCCACUUCAACUGCUAUUUACUAGGCAGUCACCUCCAUCUCUCUGGUGAUGUGCACAAUAGACAGGAGCAAUUAAGCGAUACUUCGCUGAAAUGCUCCACAGACACUGGCUGCAGCUGCUGAUAGCUCGUAUGCAAAAGAAUGGCGUUUUGAGCCACUUUCGAGAAUGGUAUUGCUUUACAUCUUGCAUUAUGUAUCAUAUUUGCGGCGCAUAAUUCUGUGGCAAUAAUGCCAGGCGCACAGAGCCUUGAAUUGAAUGGCACUUUGCUUUUUUGGGGCGGGUGGGGAGAGGCAUAGUCAAGAUGGGAAGAAUGCUCCAUGCAGAAGAUAAUGGUCCUGAUGAUACCCUAUCUUUCAACAAGCAGCUGCAUCAUCAUGAUGUUAUUUAAUGUCAUAUAUAUAUAUAUAUAUAUAUAUAUAUAUAUAUAUAUGAUGAGCAGUGUAGCAUCUGGGACUCUCCUGACUGUAAAAAUGUGACUUUUCCCCCUCUUCUGUGCUUGCUGAAUUUCACAACUGUUGGGGGACAUGCUUCUCUUUUGCGGCAAAGUCCUUGGGGUUGAAUACAGCCCCCAACCAAGCCUCUCUACCUGCCCUCCAGGACUCACCCCAGUGCAUAGCCCCUCCUCAGCCAGUGUUAGGCUUCAGGGAAUUCUAUCCCUCCCUCCGGUGGCAGCAAGAAGCAAAAAACAAAAAUGAAGAAGAGUUCUUACUAAUGAGUUUAUUCAAUCAUCACAGCGAGAGACAAGGAAUGCAGUCUUCCUUCUGUUAAUGGUGUUGUUCCAGCUGAGCUCCUUGCCCCUCCCUUCCUAGCAACAGCACUUCCCCUCACGGUAGCCGCCAGGGGUUAAUUGUCUCUGAGUCCUUUGCUCUUGCUCUCUCAAUGGACGCUGAGUUCUGGGAGAAGGGGGCUCAGAAAUACUCUCCAGUGAUAAUGUGUCAGCUGGCUGCUCUGUCUCUGUCUCCCCCCUCCCAACACCUCCCAACUCUUCUUCGAGAGACAGUGUGGUGUAGUGGUUAAGAGCAGUAGACUCGUAAUCUGGUGAACCGGGUUCACUUCCCUGCUCCUCCACAUGCAGCUGCUGGGUGACCUUGGGCUAGUCACACUUCUGUGAAGUCUCUCAGCCCCACGCACCUCACAGAGUGUUUGUUGUGGGGGAGGAAGGGAAAGGAGAAUGUUAGUUGCUUUGAGACUCCUUUGGGUAGUGAUAAAGUGGGAUAUCAAAUCCAAACUCAUCUUCUUCUUCUUCUGUUCGCCUCUCUCUGAGCUGUGACCUUCCUCAGACCACUGCUGUAAUUCAAUAUUGCCUUCCUCUUCUCUGGAAGCAACAGAAGAAGGGCGGGUGAUCUCCCUCAUUCCUCCUCAAUCUCAUCACCUUCAGACCAGUCCCUGACAACCAGUGAUAAAGCCAGGGCAGUGUAGCAGUUAGUGCUGGUAGAGGGUUCAAGUCCCCACUCAGCCAUGAAGCUCACUGGGUGACCAAGGGCCAGUCACUUACUCUCAGCCUUGUGAGGAUAAAAUGGGCAGGAGAACUAUGCAUGCUACAUUGAGUUCCUAGGGGGAAAGCUGGGAUUUAGAUAUAGUGAAUAAGCAAACAAAUAAGCUACACAUCCUCCUGGCUCUGCUUCAUGUCCUACUUGAAUGCUUUUGCCUGGCUAGAAUGCAGCCUUGAAUUCUGAUCAUGCUUCUUGCUUCCAGGGAUGGAGGAUAGAGAAAGGUGUGUGUGUGUGUAGAAACCAGCUAUAGUAUCAAUGUCACAUUUGCAUUAAUUGCUGCACCCACUAUUGUCUCUAGCCCCACCCACCACGUGCAAGGUCACCCAGAGGACUAUACAACCUUCAGCCUGAAAAAAAAAAGAAGAAAAAGUUUCCUAUGGAGACCCGGUACCUACAAUUCACAAGAAAAGGGAUGCGGUAAUUCAGAAAGGUCUGAGUCUGAAAUCCUCUACCCUGAUAGGCUCACUGCACACAAUGGGCAUGUCAGUAGCUAAGCAGUAGUCAAAUCAUGGGUGUGGCUCUUGCUGGAUGACACCACUUUGCACCAUGAAGGAAGAAUCAUCUGAGACAUUAUCCUAUGUAUUACUGUUAUUAAAUUUAUAUGCCCCCUAAUAUUUAUCACAUUUAUAUCCCACUUCACUUUUAGAGUUGCUACAGUGGAAUCCCUGAUGUGGACAUUGUGCAGAGUAAAAAUGAAUUUGCUCUUCACCUCAAUAAUGAAUUUCAAAGCUUUGCUGGAAACAGAAUUUAAAUAGUAACAAAAUAAACAUUGGCAAAAAAUAAGAAGUAACACAUUGCUCUUAAACAAACAAGCAAUGUGUUCUUGUCAUAGUUAAGUCCAUAAAACAGUUGAAUAAAUUUCCUCUCUCUGGUCCCAGAGAGAGAUCCUAAGCAACUUGCUUCUUUAUCAUCUCAGAGCUUAGCUUCUGCUUCUGGCUUCAUUGCUGACAAAGACUUAGGUCUCAGGUUUCAUCUUCUUGCUGUGAGAGAUCUGUAGCUCAGGUAAUGACUCAUCAUUUAAGCUAAAGAUGGAAAGAGAAACAUCCAACCUUUUCUGCCGCAUUUGCCAGAAUGAAACCUCCUGUGCCUAAUGCAAACUUCUCUUUGCAAAAUGUUUUCAAACACUAUGUGUACAAACAUUACAUCUUUAGUGUAUUAAACUUUUAUCUUUAACACUUUCAAGGGGGUGUACAUUUCCCCCUCCUCAUUUUAUCUUUACAAAAAACUUAUAGGGUGUUAGGCAGAAAGACUUCAACUUUUCCAAGGUCAACCUGUGAGCUUCAUGGCUGAAUGGGGAUUCAAACUCCUGAUCUGCCAUAUCCUAGUUCAACAGGCUAAUCACUACCCCCACACUGCCAAAGCAGGCUUCUAAGAAGUUCAGAAGCAUAAAAGCCCAUUGCAUACACAUUAAAAUACACAUAAUUUAAAUACACAGUAGAACAAUCUCAUCAAAACAAGAGUAGGGAACUUGAUCUGUCAAUCACAUUGAUGCCAUAGUCAUAGUUGUUUUGCCAGCAUGCUCUCCUGUAUAACUUAUUCUUUGGGGCACAAUAUGAAGUAACCUGCAGAUUUUGAGUCAUACUUCAGAUGUUUUGCUUCUUCUCAUAAGGGGAAGGAGGUCUAGAUUUUUGUAAACAUGCCACAGUAUUUAACUAGUGGUUGGUAGAGGUAAGGACACCUGCAAAAUUUGAAUUCUGGGAAUUCCAAUGGGAACUUACCUGAGCUACACCUGCUGGACCAAAUUGCAGAUUGGAAUGCAAUUUUCCUUUGGUUUUUACACAUCUCCAAAUAUUGUGAUACAGUUAUUAGCUUAAAAAAGCACUGUCUAAAAUGAUAAAAUAUGUUUAGAAAUGCAUUGAGAUUAAAUAUUAUUUAAAGACAUAAUUGUGAUGAAAUAUAGAUUUGAAAAUAAAUUCUUCUGCUGAUUUUUUUUAACCAAAAAAAAAAUGCAGAAUAAUAUAGAACCAGUCGCAGGAAUGAAAAAGUGUAAAACAAACAUAAUCUGGAAACAAACUGCUCUGUGUAUCCCUAAAACAGAAGUAUUUUGAGGUGGUUUAAUUUCUCAACACAUUUUUUGUUUCAAAUAUUUCGCUUUCCAUUCCUUUGAAUUGCACUCCUAUUAUUUUCCAACUUGUUUUCUUCCUCACAAUUGAUUUCAAACGUAGAUCCAGGCGGCCGUCUGUUCUCGGCGCCGUCUGUGUUUUCCAUCCAAAUGUCAUGACAUUUUCAGGCGCUCUGCUACCUGCCCUACUCCUUGAGGGCAUCAGAUCUGAGAAAUUUCAGAUCAAUAGAAGAAAGGGCCCUAGUUUUGGAGGUCCUGUUUUAUACAUGUCAAUUUCACUGCGCACACACACUCCCCUGCCUUUCUGUGACCUGUACAGGCUGUUCCAGAACUACUUCAAAUUUUCAUCCCUAUAAAAAAAAAGAAAAAGAAAUUGAGAAGCAGUGUGGUGCCAUGAAUAGGGUAUUAGACCAGGACUGGGAAGAACCUUCUUCAAAUCCAUAAUGGAACUCACUGGGUGACUUUGGAGCAUCGUUGUUAUUUCAGCCUAGCCUACCUACCUCAUAAGGUUGUUGUGUGGACAAAAGGUGGAGGCUAUGUGUGGAAAAUUCUGUACCCCACCUUGAGCUUCUUGGAGGAAAGAUGGCCUACAAAUGUAAUCAAUCAAUCAGUCAAUCAGUCAAUCAAUCAAUCAAUCAAUCAAUCAAAAUGUGUUGGCAUUCCCCAAAAGUGACACUGCAUUUUCAGGACAUGGGUCCACAAUGGCCUUUGUGAUUUUUGAAACUGUGGGAUUUUCCAAAUGGUCAGCUUGCAGACCAGCACAGAGGUGGGCAACCUUCAGCCCUAGGAAGAUAGGUGACCCUUGGCUUGAAUCCACAGAUCAUGAGAUAAAAGAUAAGAGAAUUGAAAGAUGCUCCUCAGCAAAACUCCAGAAGCUGCCUUAAACUGAAUCAGACCAUUGGUUAUCUAGCUUGGUAUCAUCUACACCAGGGUUUCCCAAUGUUGGGUUGCCAGCUGUUUUUGGACUACAAUUCCCAUCAUCUCUGACCACUUGUCCUGCUAGCGAGGGAUGAUGGGAGUUGCAGUCCAACAACAGCUAGAAACCCAACUUUGGGAAACCCUCAUCUACACUGAUUGGCAGUGGCUCCCCAGGAUUUAAGAGAGGAGACUAUCACAGCCCUACCUGGAGAUCUGGAGAACCUGGGACCUUCUACAUGCAAAGGAGACGCUCCAUGCCUGGACAUCUGCUUUGCCCAACCUCUUGCCCAACCAGCUGUUGGCUGAGUGAUGAUGCUGGACUGUUGCUCAUAUAAUAAUGGCAUUUCUUUUUCUCUCUCCAGUCGGUGCAGUUCAUAUAAUUCUGAAGAUAUCCUGCACACAACAAGUUGCCCCUCCUUUUCUUUCAUUCCCUUCCCCACUCAGAUCUGCGAUCGCUGUUCAAAACAACCCUUGUUCCUUUAUGUGGGACACUUAUCUGUAGCUCCAAAUAUGUGAUUUUUUAAACUUCAGAAACAGGAAACCACAGAUAUUCAUUUCAUCUCUCCGUCUCGGGGCCUUUAGAGACUUGCACAACCGGGAGCUGCAUAUCCAAAUACAUGUUAGUAUUCUGCUCAUGCCAGCAUCUUCCCCAAGGAUAAAACCACAAAAAAUGAAAUGUUGCAAAUGGCCCAUAUUCUUGCUGAAGGAGCAAUGGUAUAGAUCCUGCAUUUGUUGAUUAGAUCUCUCUCUCUCUCUCUGUCACACACACACACACACACACUUUUUGAGACAACCCAGUGGCCUUUUAUUUAACUGGUUGAUUCCACCUCUCGUAAGAAGAGUUAUUUGUCAAAUGCAUGCAGCUUCUUUCCAAAGACCUUUCACUUAAAGCACAUGAGAAAGCUUGACAGUAUUAUUAUUCUUCUUCUUUAAAUUCCAUCUGCUCCUUCUUCAUUUAAAUAUGGCGGCUGUUAAUGUGAUUUGCCAUGUAUAUUGUAAUUGGAACGUCCAAAGUGCAUCAUUAAAACCAUAAUUUUUAUAACUUUUUAAUGUAGCACUUAAAGACAUAAGAAGCUUUUCGCAAAAUGAUAAAAUGAGCAAGUUCACUUCCCCGUAUUACCGAUGGGUUACUGAGAUCCAAUUUAAGCACUGCCCUUGCAGACUCCCUUUUCUCCUGUGACAGCACAGGGGUGGGGUUGUAGCUGACCUCACUUUAGAAGGAGGCAGGAUAAUGCACAAUAUCUGCAGGCACCCAUCAUGUCUAUACCCAGGCCAGCAGUGGGCAAAGUCAUGAGUAUAUAAAGACAGAGUCUCAAACCUGCUUAGUUUGCACUCCCUGAAACAAUACAUGAAGAAGAAGAAGAAGAAGAAGAAGAAGAAGAAGAGAAGAGUUUGGAUUUGGUAUCCCGCUUUAUCACUACCCCAAGGAGUCUCAAAGCGGCUAACAUUCUCCUUUCCCUUCCUCCCCCACAACAAACACUCUGUGAGGUGAGUGGGGCUGAGAGACUUCAAAGAAGUGUGACUAGCCCAAGGUCACCCAGCAGCUGCAUGUGGAGGAGCGGGGAAGCGAACCCGGUUCACAAGAUUACGAGUCCACCGCUCUUAACCACUACACCACAAGGCUCAGUUACACCUCAAAAUUCACACUACUCCAAAUAUUGCAACGCAGUCUUCCAACCCUGCUGAGAUAUAUUAUGGGAAAGUGUGCAUAAAAAUGAAGAGAUUAGUGAAAAUGAAAUACGAAAAUGCAUCAUACCAGUGGAAACUGCUUGCAUGGUCACCCUGGACUUGCCAUGACCAAAGGGUACACCAGCUAUCAGAAGGCUGGAUGAUACUAGCUCAGAGGCAUUCAGAACACCAAACUGCCAUGGAAAUUCUGGAAACUGGUCAGCCGUAUACGCUUUGCUGCUGGACGCCAAAUGGGGGAUUAGAUGCGGGCAGGGAGUGAAUAGCUGAGGAAAUUCUAUCCGCUGGGCUGUAAAUAAGAAGAAAUGACUGUGGAGUAUUCCAGCAGCCACCUCCUGAGCUCUUUCCUCCAUUCAGACUGCUGAGAGGCUUUUAAAAGCCCACCACCAUCCUGAGAAGGCACUUGGUAUUUCCCUUUUUGUCUGGCACGGGGAGCAGGCGGGGAAAAGCUUUUGAAACUUCUCAGCAGCCGGAAAGAUUUAAGUGGGCAUCCUGGUGGCGAGAGUAAUUUUAGCUCCCCUGAUUAUAAUUGGCAGAAGGAUGAAAAAUGCUCUUUAAAAAACGAGGUUCAAUGGCCCAAGCCUAUUUGACUGAUAUUUAAUGAGAUGUCCACUGGAUCUUACAAUAAGUGACUAAUUGUUAAUUAUAGACUUGCCAAAGGUGAUCUUUUACUGCAGCUCUGCAAAACUGAGCUUGGAGAGUCCGGUUUAGCAGCCUUUCUAAUGCCGCUGGGAAAAGAAAAGGCUGCGAGGAGGAAAGAAGCACAGAAGUUCUUGUUUAUUCUCAAAAAUCCUCAUGCCUCGGCACAAAUGCAAAGGACCUUCCCCCCUCCUGGACUAGCUGGGUCCAUUGAGUGACUCUGCAGUUCUGAAGCCACAAAGUGUUCAAUUCCUAAAGCUGGUGGAAGGCUGGUUGAAGAGUUGAGGGAAGCAGGGUGUCACUUAGCUGUCACUCAGGUUAAGGACCUCCUGGUCUCUUAUAUCUCUGCCUAGCAGAGGGGGACGCAGGUGGUGCUGUGGUGUAAACCACAGAGCCUAGGGUUUGCCAAUCGGAAGGUCGGCGGUUCGAAUCCCCACGAUGGGGUGAGCGCCCAUUGCUCGGUCCCUGCUCCUGCCAGCCUAGCAGUUCGAAAGCACAUCAAAGUGCAAGUAGAUAAAUAGGUACCGCUCCGGCAGGAAGGUAAACGGUGUUUCUGUGUGCUGCUCUGGUUUGCCAGAAGCGGCUUAGUCAUGCUGGCCACAUGACCUGGAAGCUGUCUGUGGACAAACACCGUCUCCCUUGGCCUAUAGAGCGAGAUGAGCGCGCAACCCCAGAGUCGUCCGCGACUGGACCUAAUGGUCAGGGGUACCUUUACCUUUUAGCAGGAAUUUUAAUGCUUUUAUGAUGGCUUUUUAUUGUUUUCAUUCUCUGUAUGGUAUAUUUUUCUGCACACCGCUUAGAAAUCAUUGUUAUUGAUUAGAUUUAUUAGAUUUAUAUACCGCCCUUCAUCAAGAGAUCUCAGGGCGGUUCACAAAAUCAAUCCAGACUAAAUAAUCUGGAGUCCCAGAUCAGAUUCCCAAGUACUCUUGUAAAACUGCGCCGCACUGUUGUACGAAAAGGCAACCCAUUAAGGCUCCCAUUUUACAGAUGACAGGCACUCCAAGGGGGGAGUUCUGAGGAGGGGGAGGAGGUCCGCCCCAGGUACCAUUCCAAAGGGGUGAAUGCCAACCCCCGAUCAGCUGCACCCCCUGGGACAUGCGCCAUGCCCCGUUAUGUACACCGUGCACCACACCCCCUGGGAUGCAUGCCAUGCCCCCUGGGACGAACGCCGCUCCGGGUACCAGAGCAGGUUGCUUCGCCUCUGCUGAGAUCAAUAGACCUAAGUAGUAAGGGACAACAAAACUGUUGCCUGAGCGAUCACCUCAAUUUAUUGAGAGAGCACAGCAGCCGCAUCAGAGCCCAGGAGGUCUCUGGCUGGAAGAGACAAGCCAUUGCCCUGACUCAAGGCAAUGCAGACAAACAGAUAUAUUGUGCUUGUCCAUAUAAUCCUAUUUUGUAACAGUUGCUGCUUACAACAGGUACUACUAUGCCAUAAGAUCCAUUGUCUUGUAAUAUCACAUAUGGUAUGUACAGUUAUUUAUUGUUUGAUAUUAUUUUUGCUGUAAAAUGUGUGAGAUCAUGAUAUUGUAUUUAUUUGCAUUACUUAGUGCUUUAACUACCAAUGAAGCCCAGGACGGCGAAACAAGGCCAAUAUUCCGGAAAUCCUUGUCUAGACUCUGUGAAAGGAUUUUGUGGAACUGUAACAACCUUUCAUGUGGAUUGUUUGGACUUUAUGAACAGACAGGUGGAAUAGACACCAUUACAUGGAUGGACCUUAUGCAUGAAAUUGACUAGAGAAUGAUCUGACCCACUGGGUCUUCUGCUUUGUUCAUUUGUUGAACUUUAUGAGUUACUUCUGUUGAAAUUUACAAUCAAUGAAUAGUAUACCUUAUUUAUUUAAGAACACAGCCAGUUACAUCUUGUGUGUUUAUUGAUGAUGCUUUAUGUGACCAUAGGUUGGUUUGCUGUUGUUCUCUUUUCCCGCAAGCACAGAGUGAAAUGGCACCAGCCUACACCCGCCCCAGGCAGCACUCACUGUGAGACCCAGAGAGCGUGAGAGGUUCAGCUGCAUGGUCCAGUCCAGGGCUCCACAUCGCAUGAAACCAGUGAGUUGUGGGCAUGUACACAAUUUCAGUGAAAGAAACACAUUGGCAACCUGGCACUGCUGUUUCCUCCUUGUGUAUCAUCAUGCGUUGGCCGUUCAUCAUUCAUGCUAACGAUUAAGCAGUAUAUAAAUGCCUGAAAUAAAGAAAAUAAAUAGCAAUAAAUUUGCAGAGGAGGCCAGCUGGCAAGGAAAGUACUCAGCACCACUGCAGCUGCCCCCCUGCCCCUUGGUAUCCCAGACAAAAGCACCCCAGGGGCAGAAAUCCACUAGUGCUGUUGUAUUGGUGCAUGGUAGGAAUGGGAACCUGUUGUGCCGGGUGCAGCUGGUGAGCUGCACAUAUAUAUUGAAUUUUGCAAUGUAGGAAUGUGGGUGGCGCUGUGGGUUAAACCACAGAGCCUAGGAUUUGCCAAUCAGAAGGUUGGCGGUUCGAAUCCCCUUGACGGAGGUGAGCUCCCAUUGCUUGGUCCCUGCUCCUGCUAACCUAGCAGUUCAAAAGCACGUCAAAGUGCAAGUAGAUAAAUAGGUACCACUCCAGUGGGGAGGUAAACGGCGUUUCUGUGCACUGCUCUGGUUCGCCAGAAGCGGCUUAGUCAUGCUGGCCACAUGACCUGGAAGCUGUACGCCGGCUCCCUCGGCCAAUAAAGCGAGAUGAGCGCCGCAACCCCAGAGUCGGCCACGCCUGGACCUAAUGGUCAGGGGUCCCUUUACCUUUACCUUAUGCAAUUAGUUUGUGUAGGGUCCCACUUUUUUUAAUUAUACAACUCUUUGGCUGGCAAGGGCCAUUGGGUAAGCAAUAAAGAUUUUUUUAUUCAGCCUUCAGGGGAUUUCAGACUGUUGCAUUCUGCUAACACAGCCCUCCCCCAAGAGAAUCCUCCACUAUGCAAUCCCUGGGGACAGAGCUAUAAUCUCCAGGGUUUAACAUUCAAUCCCUCUUUCCCAGGGAACUCUGGGAAUUGUAGUCCUAUCAGGGGAAUAGGGUGUCUCCUAACUGUCAGCACCCUUAAUGAACUAAAAUCCCCAGUAUUUGGGGGGGAAGCCACUGCUGAUUAUAGUGACAGGAUACUGCUUGAAAAGUAUAGUGCAGAAGAUCACAACUCUUCUCAGUAUCUGAAUACAGAGAGAGGAAAUCUUUGUAGAGGACUCAAGUGUGCUUCAGUCUCUUUGGUUUAACCUUCCCUCUAAUCCUCAGCUCUCUUUUGUCUCCUGUAGCUUUAUUUAAUUCUCUUUCUCCCUCUUCCCAAUUCCUCGCUUCCUUUAUCACUGUUCCUGUUCCCUUCCUCUAGGCCUUCAGCUCCAAAGAAAACGAUGAAAGAACGAACGAGACACCAGCAAGGCAGGCGUCAAACAUUGGCGUGCGGUUUUCCCAUCCAGAAGAGGACACAAAGAAGAUGAACUUGACUUCUUGGGCUCCCGUCACUGUGGGCUUGUAUGUAUUUAGAAUUUAAUUUCUCAUUACAGAAGCAAAUGCUCAGUUAAUUAUUCAUAGGGCCACCUGCCUCCCUCCCCUCUACAUUUUGCAUUUGAAUGUCCUUUCCAAGGAUUAAAGAUGCAUAGCUUCCUUUAGCAUCUUAAUCCAGUUAAAUACAAUAGUCAGCAAUAAUUCUUUUCCAGGAUAUUGUUCUUGGUUUGUUCAUUGGCUGGUGGCGCAGGCUUUCAUGGAGGCUGUAUAUAUAUAUUUCCCCUGAAGUUUGAGAGGUUCUAUUUAGGAGUAUAGGAAGCUCCAACUGGAGCGCUCUCAGGCCAGUGUUUCCCAGUUGUCGGUGUUUAUACCACAUAUUUUUAGAUUUGCCUUGAGAGAGUCUUUAUAUGCUUUCCAUUUUUAAGUUCGGAUUAGAGUAGUUGCUUUGGAAGAUGAUAAUCAGGCAUCCGCACAACAUGACCAGUCCAACUAAGCUGAAGGUGCCAUUGGCUUUGAAGACACUCAAACUCAGGACGAAAGGGAGAAAUGAGCUAAGAGGAAGGUAUUCUUGGCAAACCCUCACCAUGAUCAACUCCCGUCUGGAAACCUAUGUCCCCACUGUGGAAGGACGUGUGGCUCCAGAACUGGCCUCCAGAGUCACUUACAGACUCACUGUAAAAACCAUGUUUAUGGAAGACAAUCUUACUUCGCUAGUAGUGAUUGCCAAAGAAGAAGAAUAGGAAGCUGCCUUAUACUGAGAGUCAAACCACUGACCCAUCUAACUCAGUACUGUCUACACAAGACUGGCAGUGGCUUUCCAGGGUUUAAGACUGAAGUCUCUCCCAGCCCUACCUAGAGAUUGAACCUGAGACCUUCGGCAUCCACCUCCAUUCCUACCUAAUCUGAUAUACCAUUGGACUUACUCCUAGAGGGAUGCUUCAGUUAAUUAAGGCUGCAACCUUAUAGGGGGUGUGUGGGAUGUUAGGGGAGGGGUAGUACCCCUGGUGAGGUACAUGUCAUUCUCUUUCUGGGAUUGUUUGUCCACCCUGCCCUCAUCUCCUACCUGUGGCUCCUAGAAGCUGUCAGCGUGUAACAACGGCCACCCCCCGCCCCCACAAGAAUUGGCUAAACCAGGUGAGGGUAACCGACAGGUUUGGUAAGUUUAAAAUGGGUUUACUCACAAACUCUCCAAAGGUCAGAUUGAUGUGCUUUUCCAUACAGCAUUCAGAAGAAGUGCACAAGCAGUAAAACUUUACAGUGGUGAAAGUUACUGAAUUAUUGGUAUAGGAGCCCUAGAGGGCUUGUAAGAGCCAUGUGGUCCUUCCCAAAGUGAGCUAAGCCUGGCAGGACUCUAUGGUGUUAACCCCUUUAGACUUAAGUAUGUUACUUGUAUGUGGCUGGUUAUCCCACAAUAACUACUCCAUUAUUACAUAACAACAGUAAGCAGUCCAUACAGUAGAACAUUGGAAGCUGGCUUAUACUAAGUCAGGCCCAAAGGCCCACCUAGAUCAGUUUCCAACAUUUGGCAGUGGUACUCCCGGGUUUCAGGUGGAAGAUCGUCUCUGUCCAACCUGGAGAUGCCAGGGAUUGGACCUGGGACCUUCUGCACACUUGCGGUAUGGAUACUUGUCUGAAAACAAUACAUCUUGCAUAGUUGCAGAUGAGAUGCACAGUUGCUCAAACAGCUGCACCUCUUACAGGAGGUCAUUCCAGAGACCUAUAUAAAAAAAGCAGCUCUUCCUGUGACUUCACUACCUUCACUGAAACAGUAAGAAGCAGGACUCUUGAAGAUGAUCCCGAGAGGAAGACGCGCCGCCUUGUAAGCAUUUCACACACCAAGGAACCCCAGCAAACGAGCCAUGUGUCUCUUCUGAAACAAAGAACAUUCCCUUAAAAAAAUAAGGGACAUCUGGCAAUUUCUAUUUGGCAGUAAAAGUUACCACAUUGUGACAGCAGAGCAUCAAUCAGCGGCGACUGACUAAUGAUGUGAUUAUUCACAUUCAGUUAUUGAUAGGCGUGCUUAGUGCACAGAAGGAACGAGGCUCGAGGAGAAUGAUAAGCAGUGGCAGAGGGACAUGGCACAGGAAAAGGUGCGCAGGAUGAAAACUAUGGAAGCUGUGGAAGAUAAGGGGUGUGGAACAAAGAACAGGAGGAAGAACAAGAGUAUGCCUUCCAUCAGGAGUUGUGAACAGAUGGCUAGGUCUAACCUGCCCUCUCCACCUCAAGCAUUUUGAGGUGCUCUGCUAAGGGUUGCAAGGGAAGUGGAGAAAGCAAAUAGGCCACACCAGGUGAGGCAAGCAGGUCAAAUCCAGGCGAAGUCAAUGCAGGCCUAUUUAAGCCAAGGAGGGUGGAAUCUUUUCCACCCCAACGGCUGCAUUCAUUCAUUUUUAAGCAAUCUUCCAGGGACCACAUGCCAGUGGUGAGGAGGGAGGGGGGCAGAGGGAAAAGUGGACAGAGCAACGAAUGCAAAUCUUACCUUUGUCUCUACAUAUAACCCUCACCCAGACAAGCAAGAGUUCAAGGACACAUUCCAUCCAGACAAAAGCACUUGGAUUAUGAAGCAAGGCUGGUGAGGGGAGGAUAAGGAAGCCUGGAGGGCCACAUUUAGGUGCUGGGCCUGAGAUUUCCCAUCGAUAAUCCAGGCAGAUCAGGUGUGGGCACUACUGGCUAGGGGUUGGAAGAUGUAGUCUCAGUCGGGGCUAGGCAUGUCUGAGGUCUUAUGUAGGCAGGCGAUUCCCUUCUGCAAUAUGCCCAUCUCCCCGAGGAGCUGGCUGUGUUCCCUUCACAGAGUUACAAUUCCCAGAGUUCCCUGAGAAGAGGGAUUUGUUGCUGAAGCACUCUGGAAAAUGUAGUUCUGUGAGGGGAACAGGGGUCUCCUAAGAACUCUUGGUACUAGGGGUAGUGCAUUCUGGUUUGAGGCCUGAGUGUUAGGAUCGCCCUACUCACGUGUAGGCCCCUGGCAGAGACACAUGCCCGGCUGGCAUGUUCUCUCCCUCCUGCUCGAUCAUCCGGGAGCUUCAAAAGCUUUCUCCAGCCCAAACAUCUCAGCGACUGAUACCAAGAGGCAUUAGCACACUUAGGAUCCUGCAGAGUAUUUGCAGUUUGCGUAACAGAACUCAGUAGCACAGCAUUUUGGCUAAUCUACUUUAUUUACAUAUAAUACACUCAGAGCAUUCUGACUUAGCUCUUUCCUCUUUCUCACCAGACAGCAAAGAGAAAUAAAUAAAUGACAAAAGUUCUACAUUCCAGAACACAGUAACAUAAACAUCCUGUUUCCGUCACUUCCCACUAUGUGGAAUGAAAGCAUACACCAUCAUGUGAUAGACAACAAUCCCAUGACUGCAAACACAGAGCAGGAAUCCUAACACUGGGAUGCUGUCCAACACUGCCACUACCACCCUUACCUGGGUUGUGCGGUAGCACCUGCAAAGCACAAAAUUUGAAUAUGCUCAUUUAUGUCUCAAUGCAAAUUGACUUCAGCUGCAUCAAAGGUGCUAAUUCCAAUAGAUAAUUACAACUUGCCAUCAGCCUCACAGGCCCAACUGGCUUGGGAGGCACUUGCUGCCAGAUGGGAAUACCGUGAACAUCAUCAGCUACCCAUGGCAUCAUCACUUGCAAGGCUCUCUCUCUUCCUGUGAGACUGGUGUUCUUGGAGGUGCAUUCUUCUCCAAAUUGGGGUGUGGGACUUCUCCCAAAGAUGGAGGUGGCACCCAGUGUCAGUUUGCAUUUCUUAGUACAGAAAAUAUUGACCUGAUGUGUAGAGAUCUUUCCUGUUCUGCUUAGUUCAAGAGGGUUCUGGAAGGUUUCUUUCUAUGUGAAAGAAACAGGCAGAAGGUUUCUGAUGCUUGGGUUAUUCCUUCUGGGAAGCUGGUUUAAACUGGUUCUGUUAUCUUUCUGUCAAGGUCAUGCUGACUGUAAUAGUCAGGCCAGGAGGAGGCUGGGUUUCACUUACUUUCUCUUUUUAUCUCUUUCUUCUGGUGUGGUCUGUUCUGUAUGCUUAAUGUUAAGGUUUAGUCCUAUUAUAAAUAUUAUAAGUUAAGCUAAGUCUGCUGCAACUGGAUCUUUUAUGGACUGUGCCAAUCCUGAAUGUGUUCGAUUUGUGGCCAUUAUGCUUAUUUGCCUCCAGUAGCAGUAAAGCUCUGCUGGAUGAAGUACAAUUGCCUCUGGUCUAUUUUUGGGAACUCUGCAACAUAUUUAAGUUUUUUUCCUCCUCUGGACAACACCUAGUUUUCAGGGAUAAGACAGAGGACCCCUCCUUCUGCAUUCCAGCCUCCCUUCCUGGUGUGGCGCUGACUCCCAUCGCUAAGGAAUCUGUUCUCUGUGUGGAUGGGGAAUGACAAAGACCUGGGAGGACCAUCUCGCACUUCCUGGCCCCUUUGCGCUAUGGGGCAGGGUCCCCAUCCUGCCUCUCAGGUCACCCCACCAACUGCAUUCUCUGCAUCCUCCUCCUUUUCAUCACCUGCCAGCAACUUCAGUCUUAGCCCCGAGCCUGUGAGGCAGAUUAGUGAGAAUCUGGAAGCAGCUGCAGGAAAGAGUGCUUUGCUUUGACAGACCUAAUUUAUUUGUUGAAAAUCUGAAAGUGGGAACCUGCUUUGCCAGGAAAUUCCUCCAGGUGAUAUUUUUUAAAUGCAGAACCUGCCUCUAAAUGGUGCGAUGACUGAAUUGGUGUUAGAAACCCGAAGAACACGAACAUGGUUCUCCCAGGACAACUGAAGCAAGCAAGCAAACAAAUUAAUUGUUUAAGUGCUCUACAAAUCUCUCCAUGCAAACUGUUGAGACAAUGUAAACAUCUACCUCCCUCUCCUUGAAGUUUUACAGGCAAUUAAUUUAAUUGGUUAUGGCUGGUCUCAUAGCUUCUGUUAUGAACAAGAGCUAUUCAUUGCAAAGGUCAAGGGUAGUCUUGCAGUAUAUUAGCUGUAAUUCUCUGAGGCAUAAUUUAGUUAUUUAUGUUGUAAGUUGAUGUGCUUUGAGGUUCCUUCGCUAUUGCUCUUUGCUACUCUCACGCAGCAUUAUAGAUAUGUUACAACAUUGCACACUGCAAUGCAUUGCUUAUCUAAGGUUGGUUAUUCUCAUAUUAACCAGACCUGCUAUUGAAAUCUUCAUUAAGAAGAUCUGCUCAGAGCUUAUGAACUACCACCUUAUGAACUAAGGUGGGUGGCAAUGAGAGACAAGCAUCUUCUUGAAGGAAUGGGUUUCUGUGUAGUAAGUUUAAAAACGGACUCAACCCCCCCCCUUUUUUGUUCUUUCAAAAGAGAGCACUUUUAAAUGCGUAAAACUUGAACUGUUGAGCAAAACCAUAAUAAGGACACAACUGCAUAAACAGUUCUGUCCUUUAUCAGGACAGGCAAGGGAUGGCCUUGGCUCUCCAGGGGAACAAAGAAAACACGUCAGAACUUUAUCUUAUGUGCUGACCACAAAAUACGCGCAAUACCAAUGUCCGGGGAAAACGCCAAAAGCGUGUUCCCGGAGAUUGUGACGUCUUCCCAGAUAAGAGUAGGAAGAGGAAGAUCCUUUUAUGGUCAGAAGUACAGGAAGGAAGAUCCUUUUAUGGUUGAGAGUACCAGAGAGUACAUAUGUGAUGUCAACCUGCGUACGUAGGCCGACGUGGUUGAGCUCCUAGGGGAGGAGUGAGAGGGUGCCUGAAGGAUAUAUAAACUGCAUGAAACCUGUCAUUUCUUUGUACUUGCUGUGGACUCACCACGCAGGUGCCUUCUGCUAUCCGGAGAGCAGAAUAAACUCUUUCUUUGAACCAACCUCGGUGUCAUUUUGACUUCCUUCCUCCUGUCCCGAAGCAAUGCAGACCCAAUCGGUGAACUCCAAUAAGGCUACAUUCUCAGUCGUGAUUCAUUGUUUGUGAUACUUCUAAUGUCCCUCUUGUUCACUUUUUGAUGGCUUCCAGACACCACUUGAAAAUAGGGAUGAGUGGAUCAGUCACUUUCUGGGCCUGGUAAAAUCCACAUUUAUUUAUACAUAAAUCAGUUCCAUCCCAUUCUCACUUUAAAGUGCUUUUGGGUGGGGUUUUUCCCCCCAGCCAAGAACUAUAUUGCAAAAUUCAGGGAAAGUGUGAAAUCUGAAGGAUAGUUAUGUUUGGAUCUGUGUAUUCGUCCAGGAGGUGGCGAAUCAGGUUGCUUUGCUUAAAACCAUGGUUUUUGAAUUUAUUGUAAAAAAAUGAUCCCUCCCCCAGGCCCCUAGAGUGGUUUAACCAUCAAUCUAACUUCCAGGGGGACCUUGGAAAUUUUAGCAUUUAGAGGGGAAUGGGGUGUCUGAAAAACUCCAUACUUUUCUUUCUUUAUUAUUUUUUUGUUACAUUUAUAUAUCACCCUUACUUCCAAGUAUGUGUAUGUUAUGCCACACUGGCUCUUAACAGAUUAGAAUUCCCAAGAUCCCUUGGGAGAAACCAUGACUGUUUAAAGUGGUAUGGUGCUGUGCAGCAACCCCCUGCCCACCUAUGACCCCUAUAAAUGUAUUUUUAACCACCACCAAGGGACUAGGGCACCAUGAACUGGCAGGAUGAGGGGUAUAGCCAGGACUGGGACACACUAGGGCUAGAGACACUAGGGCUUGAGACCGAGUGCCCAAACUGCAACCCAAAACCCACUUAUUUAUCGCAAAGUGCCAACACGGCAAUUUAACCUGAAUACUGAGGUUUCAGUUUAGAAAAAACAACCCGUACAUUAACAUCUUUUGUCUUAAAAGAAAAACACAAUAACAGAGCUUUCAAUGAUACAAACAAUUUUUUUUUUGAAGGGUAAAAGUUUGCAUUUGGCAUGCUUUUGAACAAUUAGUGUGAUUUUUGCUGUUGUACGCAUGCUGAUAAUUUGUCUAACCUUGCUGAACUCAAGGCGGCUUACUCCCGAGUAGGAACAACAAACUAGCGGGAGGCCCUGGCGCAUCAAAAGUUGAGGCCUGGACAGAGCGGCAGUUUCCCAGCACAAGCCCUCUUCUCCUUCUCCCCCCAGUGCGGCCUCGAGGGUAAAAAUGGUGCCCUAGCAGUGCUGGGACCAUGCUGGAAGCUGCCAGGAGCCUCCUGCAGUGCUGGAGUACCAGUUUCACCACCUAGCUAUGGCCCUGCUGGGGCAACGGUGCGCGUGCCCACAGAGAGGGCUCUGAGUGCCCCCUCUGGUAAGUGUGCCAUAGGUUCGCCACCACUGUCCUGGCCUGAUCCUUUUAUUCUCCCUCCCAAAGUGCUGACUCCACCCCUCUCUGACUUGCUGUCAUUUUAGCCAAUCAGAGAGAGGCUCCAGCCCACUGGUGGAAUUCUGAGGCACUGCAUCACCAGACUCCAGUAUCACAUGCCACUGUAAACAUAUGGUAUAGAUGGGACAGGAUGGCACUGUGGUCUAAACCACUAAGCGUCUUAGGCUUGCCAAUUAGAAGAUCGGCAGUUUGAAUCUGAGCAAUGGGGUAAGCUUCUGCCAACCUAGCAGUUUGAAAGCAUGCCAGUGUAAGUAGAUAAAUUGAUACUGCUGCAAUGGGAAGGUAAAUGGCAUUUCCAUGAUGUGGCGUUUGCCCAUUCUUUUGGAAAUGUCUGUACAGGGAGAGAGAAAGGGUUAAUAAGUAGACCAAUAGAAAAGCCCAGAGGUGGAGCCUACCUGUUUUUCAAAGGCUUAGCCAGAGGUUUAGACAGUUGGGAAAAAGCAGUUGGAAGACAGAUGGAAAUAGAGAGACAGUUAGUGCAGUUGGUUCUUGUGUGAGGGGAGGUAGAAGAGUGGGAGUGAGUUAGAGACAGGAUAAAAUAAGACUAAGAGGGUAAAGGGUAACAGUGUUUCGAAUGCAUUUAAAGUUUAUUUGUGUUUGCAAUAAACUACAAUCUUCGUUGUUAACUUGAGAACCCGACUGAGACUAAGUGUUUUACUGGGGAGAACCUGGUUGGUGGCAGCGGAUUAGUGGUGUACGGGUCAAUAGUCCGUGAAAUGACCGGGGGCUCCGUACAAAAGCACACAUGCACUCCAGUUUCCAUCAUGGUGUCCUGUUCUGCCAGAAGCAGUUUAGUCAUGCUGGUCCCAUGACCCGUAAAGCUGUCUGUGGACAAACGCCGGCUCCCUUGGCCUGAAAGCGAGAUGAGCGCCGCAACACCAUAGUCACCUUUGACUGGACUUAGCCAUCCAGGGGUCCUUUACCUUUUUACCUUUUGUGGUAUAGAUGAGGCCUUAGUCCUCAAGCACCCCUAAAACAUUAAGCCCCAUUGAACAAAGUGGGACUUAUUUUUGAGUAGACAUGAAUAGGAUUGCACUGAAAGGCUGGAAUGCUAAACACAGUGGAGUGUAAACCCUAUUGGAUAUAGUGAUGUAGCACCUUGCUUGUGGUUAACGCUUAGCUGGAAUGAAAUAUUCAACGCAGCAAUAGAGAAAUUAAAAUAAUAAUUUAUUUGUCAGACAAAUAAAUGAGAGACACAGUGGUAUAUGGAUACCAAAGCUCUGCCUACUCCAGCCCUGAUGGCCAGCACUUAUAUUUCCUCAGCCCAGCCCCUUGCUUCUCCUUUGGCUGCCUCUGUCCAAUCAGCCUGGUUGAAAUUCCUAUUGGUUGUUUGCUAGAACCAAUCAUAAAAGAUACACCCAUUUCCUAUUUCCUUUUAUGGGAGACAAAAAGCUUUAUUUCCUUGUAUCCAUAAAUGGCAGACAAGUAGCCAUAUAUCUUACAUUUACCUCGACCAGGCACCUCAAUUACCAGAUAACCUUUGGCCCCUGUUGCCCUAUUCACCGCAAACCAGAUGGCUAAAGCAGAUGGUGCAUGGUUUCUAAUUUUUUUUUUAUCUUAAAGAGAUCUUGAGUUCACCUUCUCACCCACCAUAAUAGGAAUCUAACAUAAGAAUCUAACAUUUCUUACUUUCUAAAUCCUUUGCAUAAUUACAUUUAAGCCAAUAUAUUUCAUACAUAACAUAGAUAGAUUUUUAGAAGGAAAGGCCUUUUCAAAUUAGAAGGAACUUAGUAAAAGCUAAGUUCUCUUAGUUCUAUAAAGAAACCUUUUCCCUAACCAGCAGCUGUUUCUUCCAUUUAACCUUUAACCUUAUGGCUCGAGUCUUCUGUUAAACAAUAAAUUUCACUAUUUACCAGUUCUUAAUUGUGUUUUUACAGCUUGAUUGUAUUCUGGUCAGUGUGACCUUUUGCUCUCUGGCUCUAAUUUCCUUUUACAACCUUGAAAUACUUUUUACAACCCUGAAAUACUGCUAUUUAUAGCAGUGGGGCCCUUGAACAGCUGCCAGAGUAUUCAAGCUGGUCUUCUCCCUGGCAUGAGAGAAAAAUAUAUUUACAAAUAUAAUUUUUUAAGCUCAAAGCAGAUUUUGAUCAGAUGCCUCAGUGAGGCUGCUGAGUAAAUAAGCAUAAUAUUGUAAGAGUUAUAUCCAGCCGUGAAGAAGCUGUUGGUGGCUAGUAGCUAUGCUGGCUAUCUUCUACCUGCACUGUCUGAGGCAAUAUGACUCUGGAUACCACUUGGGUAGGGUUCUGUUGCAUUAAGGACCUGCUUUGGGGCUUCUCAUAGGUCUCACCGCUGUGAGAAGAGGAUGUUAGACUGCAUGGGCCAUUGUUUUGCCCAAGCAAGCUCUUCUUAUGAUCAGUCCACCCUGAUGAAUGUUCUCUGCAAUGCACUUCCAUUGAAACACUGGGUACAGGCUGCUAUUAGCUGUUCUGUUCAAUGUCAGGUGCAGUUCUUUAAUACUGCUUGAUACUCCAUUGAGUAAUAUUAACAGCGUACAACUGUGAGGUUUUCAGAGUCUGCCAAUAUACUUCUCUUGUGCUGCAACCAGCUGUUGAGGCAGGAUUUGAACAAUUUAGAUUUUUCCUUGUUGUUCACAGACUAAGGAAGUGCAUAAACCAUUUUAGCAGGAGUUCUGCUAACAAGCAACAGCUGCCAAGGUAAUGAGUGUGUUUAAAUAACCAGAUUGAUGUAGGAGGGGCUCUGUCGACGGAGAAAGGAAAUGGGGAGGGGGAAGGUAAAAAACAACAAUGCCAUGGAGCUUGACAGAGUUGCCGGUAUGUGGUAUAAUGCAUAGGAAAGACCACCUUAUCAGCAUGAGGGCUAAUUUAAGAAAUGUUCAGUUUGGUGGAAAACAACUUGCUUCGUUUGUCUGUUUUUGGUGCGUGCUUUUAAUUGAAAUGGAUAUAAUUUGGGGUUGUACCAGGAGUUAUUGUGUGAAAGAACUGGAUACUUAUGAAAGGUAUAAGGGGCUGAAAAGCUAAGGCUCUGCCUACCUAGGUUGAAGUUAAGAGUGGGGGAAAUCUGCCAAUUGCAGUUACUUGUUUUUCCAGGGUGCAGAGUGCGGCAGCUGCCUCAGCCAGCAGCUACUGAAAUAUGGACAGAGCUGGGGGGUCCCACGUGGCUGCCCUGUACCCCCUGUGCUGCUCUGCUGCCCUCACAUAUAGUAGAAGAUCCCUAUUUGCCUCUUUCCAAUCGGAGAAAUGUUGGACGGCAUUGUGGUAAUCACACAGGGUCUCCAGAUGUUUCACUGUCUAUUGACCCCUGUGCCACCACUUUAUUUCUCGCUGCCACCACCUAGGCCCUACCUGGUACAAUACUGAGUCCAGUCAGGGUUAAAUUGGAACAUAAACUUUUGUUUAUUUAUUGCAGUUUAACAAGUGUGUGGUUUCAUAAACGGUAUCCGUCAAUUACAUUCAUGGGGUGCCUAUCCAGACCUAUAACUUCCGCUACCUGCUCUCACGCACUAAACCACCUCUCAAAUAUUUACUUGUCUUCCUAGCCCCUAACUGUUCCUGACUCAGCUUAUUGCGCUACACUAACUCAACCUCCCCACAGACUCGAUCCCAAUUCACUCCCACUCCAACCAACCACCCAACUCCCAACAAACUCCUCCCUUUGCUCCUCCCAGAGCUGGUUUUAUAGUCCCUCUGACUCCACCCCCCUGGGUUCUGAUUGGGUAACCUGUUUAACUAUUUCAUCUCCAGCACUCUCAUAUGUUAAGGUCACAGGCAUGGAGUUAUGUGACCCCUGAACCAAGGAGAUAAGUAACUAUACAGCCUUUAAAAGAUUUUCUUUUGGUAAUUAUAGGGACAGAACUACCCAAACUGUACAGAAAUUUAUUCAUGUGUGCCACUGCAGCAGCAGGAAUGUUACUGGCCCCAAAAUGGAAAGAAGCAGAAGAAUUUCCAGCAGAAGAUGAAUGGCUACAAAAACUUGUGGAAUAUGCAGAAAUGGCAAAACUUACCGGAAAAAUAAGAAACAAAGAGAACAAACUUCUGAUAAAAGAAUGGAAAUGGUUCAUUGAAUAUUUGCAAAUAAGCUGUAAACAGAUAAGACAAUUGGCAGGAUUAUUGUAAUGACCUGCGGUUUUAUAAAAGUAUAUAUUUAAAGUAGAUGAAUAAAUGAGCAAAUUAAGUUAAUUUGGAUAUGCAGAAAAUAUUACAAUAAAUUUAAGGAACCAUAGAAACAGGGGGAAGGAAGUCAAGUUUUGAAAUGCUAAAGUGAUUGUAAAAUUAUUGAAAUGUAUAAAAUUGAAAAAUAUAAAUAAAAAAUAAAAUAAAUAAAAAUAAAAGAUUUCUGAAGGCAGCUCAGCCCUGUAUAGGGAAGUUUUUUUAAUGUUUAAUGUUUCAUUAUGUUUGUAUAGAUGUUGGAAGCUGCCCAGAGUGGCUGGGACAACCCACUUAAAUGGGCAGGGUAUAAAUACCAUUAUUAUUACUGAAUAGGGCAUCAGAGAAAUGUUGGAGGUUAUGGAAAAGCUUCCCCCUGCUUUAAGUGGGGGUUAUAGCUAACAAUUGGGACUAGUGGGGGAUAGCGCCCCAAUGCUGCCACAGUGAGCUUUUAUAGAGAAAAGAAAGGAGAAAGUGUUUUGUUGUUGUUCCUAUUUUAUUAGAUUUAUUACCUGCCCUUCAUCAGCAAGUCCCAGGAUGGGUUGCAACAAUUUAAAAUUCACACUUAAAAGCAGCUCAAACAAAUGCAUAAAAUGCAGUCUAAUUUUAUUUUACAUUUUGAAAAUGAGUGACUAUUUCUUGUCCCUUCUCCCAGUCCCUUUGCCAUUACUGGCUACAACAUGGGGAGGUAUGGGCUGGUUCAUUGCUUAUGGGUUGAGAGCAUCGCCUGUAGGUCUCCUACACGUCUCUGAAAGUGAAAGAGGGAGAGAAUUGUUUCAAGAAAACCUGAAAUUUUGAAACGUCCCUAACACAGUAUUUGAAACUCCCAUUGUUUUAGGCGUAUUUUGUGACGGAAUUUCAUUAGCGCGAGCCAUUUCUGAGCUCUGGGCACAGAACUGCGCCUAAGAUUUCAGAUUAAAACUGCAGAGUGGAAGGAAAGAAGGACCUUUUUCUGCUUCCCCACUUCCAGCUACUCUCUGAAGACUGGAGAACAGACCCUCUUAAGAAUAUUAGGGGGGUGGGCAGGGGAAGGGCUAUACCACAUGAAAAAUGAACAUGAAUUUUGGCUGCAGUUCAUUCAUUUUCAGCUUUGUAUUCUUGUUAUAGAGAAGUGCACCUAGACAUUCUGUUGUUGUGCCUGUAACCUAGGUUUAAGGUGCCAUUUAGCUCCUAGCUUUCAUAUCUCAGUUUCUAGCACUGUCCUAAUGGGAGUAGAUCCUUGCUCUGAGUCCCUGUGACUCAGGUCGUACAGUCAUACCUCGGGAUAAAUACACUUCAGGAUAAGUAUUUUCGGGUUGCGCUCCACGGCGACCCGGAAGUAAUGCGCUCUGUUACUUCCGGGUUUUGCCACUUGUGCAUUCGCACAAGGUCAAAAUGAUGUCAAGCGCAUGCGCGGAAGCAGCAACGUGACCCGUACAUGCGCAGACCUGCAGUCGUGUCUUACGUUCUGUUCAGAUGCGAACGGGGCUCCGGAACAGAUCCCGUUUGCAUCCCGAGGUACCACUGUAUUCCAAAGAUGGGAAGCCUGAGGCCCUCCAAGAUGUUGGUGCACUACAUCUCCCAUCAGCCCCAACCAGCAGAUCAAAUGCUCAGGAAUGGUGGGAGUUGUAUUCUAACAACUUUUGGAGGCCUGCAAGUUCUCAAUACCUCCCUGAUUCCAAUCUGAUUUCAAAUGCAUGAUGACUUGGGAAGGGAGCUGAAGAUGAUUGUGAAGAGAAACUCCGAUAUGGGAUAGAUUACUUUUCUUCUGCUAAGGCUACUGCUACAUAACUAGAUUUUUUUUUAUAUAAAAAAGGAGGGAGAGUUUCAGAAUAAUGUCUCUGUAAACUGUAAUUUAGAUAGUUGCAAGCUGUGUCCUGCAAUCAGCAAAAUUAUAGGCACACAAUUACUGUUUUCUUUAUUAAAGUUUCAAUUUUAAUGUACUGUGGAAAAACUAAUCAUUUCCUGUGAAUAGCAUCACCCACUUUACCCAAAAACUAUUUGUGUUGAGUCAAAAUUAAAAUGUGCGCUGUUCUUCAGGCUUCUGGUUUGACAGUGUUGAGGGGGGUGGGGGAAAGGGCUGAUUUGUUUUAUUUUUAUCCAGCCUUUCCUCCAAGAGGUUGAGAGCACCAUGUGUAGUCCCCUCCCUCAUUUUAUUCUCGCAGCAACUCUGUGAGGUAGGUUUGGCUGAAAGAGCAUGAUUGCUGAAUAGAAAAGUGAACCUUGGUCUCCAGAGUAAUAGUAUAUCCACUACAACACACCGACUCUCAGAAUGGCAGGCUCUUUUAAGGGGAUCAGUAUUUUGGGAUCUCAGGGAGAUGUAGAAGAAAUGGAACAAAUCAGCCAGUGUAAUAUUGUCCCCUGACUUUACUUGGCCUGGCACAGGUCAUUUUCUUCCACUUCUUCUUUCCAUUGCUUUGGGUUCUACCCUCUGGAGCAACAGAAAACAAGCUUGCUCCAUCUCUCAUGUGAUAGCCCUUCAAAUAUUUGAGGAGGCAGCCAUCUUCAAAUAUUGGAAUCUAAAAGCAUAAGAGCCUGUAGGAUCAGGCUAGUGGUCCAUCUAGUUCAGUCCAGUGGUACCUCAGGUUAAGAACUUAAUUUGUUCCGGAGGUCCGUUCUUAACCUGAAACUGUUCUUAACCUGAGGUACCACUUUAGCUAAUGGGGCCUCCCACUGCCACUGCGCCACUGCCGCACAAUUUCUGUUCUCAUACUGAAGCAAAGUUCUUAACCCGAGGUACUAUUCCUGGGUUAGCAGAGUCUGUAACCUGAAGCGUCUGCAACCUGAGGUACUACUGUAUUCUGUUCUCCCAGGAUUCGAGCACAAAAGCACUCUGGUUUCUAGUAGAGGCAGUUUUAAGGUGUCACGGUCAAUAAGGUUGCACUGGGUGCCACACUGCGGGGUCCCCCAAAACAAUGCUGUAGAAUGAAGUGUGUGAGGUGAAUUUUAGCCUCACACAGGGCACCACUAUUUGAAAGCCCAAAGUCCACUGCUGUUUCCAGCGACUGGUAUUCAGAAGCAUUACUGCUUCUGACUGGAGGCAGAAGGCUAAUAGGCACUGCUAGCCCUUUCCUCCAUGAAUUUGUCUACUCUUCUUUUGUGACCAGAAUGUGGUCUAAACCUCCCUGUAAAUCCAUAUCAGCGAAAAGAAAAGAACUCACUCUGAAACUCACUUACAGAUGGUACCUAACACCACGGAAACUGGAGCUAAUACGUCCAGGAACCUCACCCAAAUACUGGAGAGGAUGCACCUCCACAGGCACAUACCUCCACAUGUGGUGGGAAUGUCCCCAAAUCCAACAAUUCUGGACAGCAAUCAUACAAGAAAUAUGCAAAAUAACUAAGCAAGUAUUAGAAGUCACCCCAGAACUGGCCCUACUAAACAUCUUCCAAGAUAAUAAUGCCCACUCACAUCAUAAAGAGCUCACAACCCACCUGCUCUCAGCAGCCAGAAGCAUCAUAGCCAGACACUGGAGAGACCUGUCAGGAGAAAGCAUGGACCAAUGGUAUCAAAUAGUAUGAGAAAUAGCCUUAUUAGGAAAACUAACCAAUAAAGUGAAACUGACACGGGGACAAAGAGAAGACGACGUCUUCACCCUGGUAUGGUUCCCCUUUAUCACAUACACAGCCCAACAGGAUAACAAGAAUCCGCCGACAGCAUACGAAUCAAUAUGGCUAACUUGAUCCAAAAACACACAUGCACCCUCUCUCACACAAAAACAAACCUCACUACGGCCAAUCAAACACAACCAACCACACACUAGGCUACCCCCCAACCUCUUUCACUACCAAGGAAAUACAACAAGCAAAUAGAGAACCCACACAAGUGAUGCUGACACAAACCCCCACACAUACACUAAGUAGAAGUAUUGCCAUCCCACCCUACCCCACCCCACCCCACUCACCAUUCCCCCUCCCCCUCUUUACCUCUCUUUUCUUCCUAACCUAACACUGUAUGCAACGCUAAUGUCUCACGACAAAUCAAACUGAUCUGUAGAAAAUGCAACUUGAACAAAGAGACAAUGCACGUAUUUAUGUAAACUAAGGAACCUUUAAUAAUAAUUAUUUUUUAAAUCCAUCUAGAUUGGUGGCCCUCACUGCCUUCUGCGAGAGCGAGUUCUGCAGUUUAACUAUGCCCUGCUUGGCAAAGCACUUCCUUUUAUCUGGCCUGAAUCUUUCAAAGUUCACCUUCAUUGGAUGAAAUGCAACUCCCUUGCUGGGUUUGGUGGCUAUUAAAAACAACAGCUUCCUUGUUCAUCUACUGCAACACCUCCUUCCAAAAAAACGGAUUCAUGUCUUAAUGCAUUUCAUUUUCCAAGUGGAUAGAGGGGCUUUCCACUUACUUGUUUGCUUUAAAGAGAAUCAACACAGUUGACAACAUAAUUGGUGGUAAUUGUAGUACUGUGUCAGUUUUAAUAAACUGCCCAACUGGAAAAAAAAAAUGUUUUACAGAUACAGUCAUUUCCUGCAUGUCGUCAGUGAAGCCUUCUAUAUCCUUCAAUACCAGCCUCUUAAGACCACUGCUUAAAAAAAGAAAACCCUACUGUGCUGCAUAUAUGUAUGUGUGUGUUCCCCGCCCCCACCUUGUUAAUAAUAGAGCUGUCAUAUCUAAUAAAAUAUGAAACAACCAUCCAGGGAAAUAACACAAGUGAUAGAUAGCACAGGGCUGAUUUGCUGGGCCGAGCGAGCACAGAAGCUCAGUGGCUCAGAAUGGGAUCAUAGAAUCAUAGAAUUGUAAAGUUGGAAGGGAUCACAAAGGCCAUCUAGUCCAACCCCCUGCAAUGCAAGAAUCUCAGCAAAAGCAUCCAUGGCAGAUGGCCAUCCAACCUCUGCUUAAAAACCUCCAAGGAAGGAGAGACCACAUUCUCCCGAAUGAACAGCGGAAGAAGGUCCUUCCUGAUUGGAAUCUCCUUUCUUGUAACUUCAAGCCAUUGGUUCAAGUCCUACCCUCCAGAGCAGGAGAAAACAAGCUUGUUCUAUCCUCCAUGUGACAGCCCUUGAGAUAUUUGAAGAUGGCUAUUGUAUCUCCUUUCAGUCUCUUUUCCAGGGUCAACAUACCCAGCUCCUUCAACCAUUCCUCAUAAGGCUUGGCUUCUAGACCCUUGAUUAUCUUAGCUGCCCUCCUCUGCACUUUUUCUAGCUUAUCAUUUAACUUUGGGAAGGUUUAGGGGCAUGGUACACAGGCAGUGAUGAUGCCCGACUCCUUGGAUAUCUGUUCAACAGCCAUCAAUCAAAUGGAGAUUAAGUUGUGCUCCAGCAGAAGUUGCCUUUGAUUAUUCAGUCAAUGGGCUUUCCUUACACCUAAGGCCUGAUAGAUCAGUAGCAGCAGCAGUUGUGCAUAUGUGUGUCACACAGGGCUAGCCAAUGUGGUGCCUUUCAGAUGUUGCUGGACUACAACUCCCACUAGCUACAGCCAGCAGGGACAAUGAUCAGGGGUGAUGGGAGUUGUAGUCCAACAACAUCUGAAGGGUACCACAUUGGCUGACUUUGGUGCAAAGGCAGCACUAUGUUCUGACUCUCCUGUGUGAGUGUCUGAGGGCCCUGCUCUUGCCACUUACCAUCUGGCUUGGGGCGGGGCCUGAAGCCUCAAAAGGACUGCUCUGCUGCCCAGGAGGACUCCCCUGUGCGAGUGCCUGAGGGCCCUGCUCCUUCCUGCCACCUACUAUCUAGCCCGGGGGAGGGGGGCUCACAAGGAUGGUUGUUGCCACUGAUGCUGCUACUGCCCAGGAGGACCCGGUGGGGUGCAGAGUUCUUUUUAACAUGUUUUAAAAUUUUUCUUUCCCUUUAGAUUUUUAUAUAUGGGGGUGGGUUGGAUGUUUGGGUGGGCUUGGAAAUUUGUUAGAUUUUGAUGAAUUUGUAAUUUUUGCAGUUUUUAUUUGUAUUGUUUUAUUGUUUUCUGGGUUGUUUUGGUUUUUUGUUUUUAUUGUUUUAAGGUUUUAUUGUUUUAGGCUGCGAAAGAAUAACAUUAAUUGCCAUCAAUGGAGGCUACUAUGAGGCUUGGGAUUGCUACCGUGGAGGGGCGAGGGAGGUAUGGCAGUGGUGGCAGAUGUUAUAGGCGAAGGGGAUCGAGAUAUGGAUAUGCUCGUACCCCUUCCAAUCUGCGCCUCAUCCCGAUCUGGUGGAACACUCUGUCACAAGAGACUAGGGCCCUGCGGGACUUGACAUCUUUCUGCAGGGCCUGCAAGACAGAGCUGUUCCACCAGGCCUUUGGCCAGGGCACAGCCUGACUCCCUCCCUCGGCAAUCUUCGCGGAGCUCUGGCCCAAUGGUUGCCAGUGGCUUGAUUUGAAUUAAUUUCAUAAUGAAUGAUUUUAGAGUGUUGUUUGUGCUGUACUUUUCUACUCUUUUAUUGUUGUUAGCUGCCCUGAACCCGGCUUCGGCUGGGGAGGGCGGGAUUAUUAAUAUUAUUAUUAUUAUUAUUAUUAUUAUUAUUAUUAUUAUUAAUAUUAUUAUUAAUAAUAAUAAAUAAUAAUAAAUUUUAUUUAUAUUAAGUUUUGGACAACUGAGUAGCAAUGGAAGGUGGAUUCCGAUGGGUCCUUUUCACUUGGCCGACGCAAUGAGCAUUGCCACAGCAUUGCCUCAAAACGCAAACUUUCUUUUUGCCAGGACAGGAUCUAGCUCUGAAAGCAGCUGUACAUGGCUGAACGUAGGGAGAUGCCUUAUACUGAGUCAGACUACAAAUUGAUUUAGCUCAGUACCCUCCACUCUGAGUUGCAGAUGCAAGUUUUUCCAAGCCCUACCCUUCGAUGCCAGGGACUGAUCCUGGAACCUUCUGCAUGCAAAGCAUAUGCUCCUAGCACCAAACUGCAACCUUCCUGUGGUCCACUGGAGUUCUCUAAGGACAGUGCCAAUUGGCUAGUGCCUGAGACGCCAUGAAGCCUCACACAUCCACAGACCGGUUUUGCAACUUCUGAAUAGUGUGUGUGUUUAGCAGUGGUUGCCAAACUCGGCCCUCCAGCUGUUUUGGGAUUGCAUUUCCCAUCAUCCUUGACCACUGGUCCUGUUAGCUAGGGAUGAUGGGAGUUGUAGUCCCAAAAAUAGCUGGAGGGCCAAGUUUGGCCACCACUGGUUUAAAGCUAGUGAAUGAAUGAUUAAAUGAAGAAAUAUCAGGAUAAGCCGAUAUAUCCCAGAAACUCCCAAUAGUGAGCCAUUUCUGAUCACAGGAUGGAGAUGCAGUGGAUGAGAACAGGGAGAAAAGGCCUGCUUGGUAGUGGCACCCAGACUGUGGAAUGAUUUCCAAGAGAGGCUAGCUUGGCACCUAGCAUGAUGCUAUUUGGGUGUCAGUAAAAUACACGCGGGUGGCGCUGUGGGUUAAACCACAGAGCCUAGGACUUACUGAUCAGAAGUCAGCGGUUCGAAUCCCCGCAAUGGGGUGAGCUCCUGUUGCUUGGUCCCUGCCCCUGCCAACCUAGCAGUUCGAAAGCACGUCAAAGUGCAAAUAGAUAAAUAGGUACCGCUCCGGCGGGAAGGUAAACGGUGUUUCUGUGCGCUGCUCUGGUUUGCCAGAAGCGACUUGGUCAUGCUGGCCACAUGACCCAGAAGCUGUACGCCGGCUCCCUCGGCCAAUAAAGUGAAUGAGAUGAGCGCCGCAACCCCAGAGUCAGCCACGACUGGACCUCAUGGUCAGGGGCCCCUUUACUUAAAAUACCUUAUUUAUUUCCCCCCUUUUUGAUUUAAAAAAAUGCUUUUACGCUGCUUUCUGCAUUUUUCGUGUGCAUUUUAUUUCUGCCUAUUGCUUUCAUGAUGCUUUCUAAUACUGUGGUGUUUUGCUGUUUUCCUUAUCUUGUUUUAUUGCAAUUUUAACUUUCUGUAAGCAACCCUGGGCACCAGUUAAAAGGAGAGGCAUAAAUCCCUAAGUAAAUCAAGAGCCAAGAAUUCGCUUUUUUUCUUUCUUCUGUGCUGCUGCUUGUGGUUCAUGUUUAUGGUCAGUGGCAGCAGGGGAAAGGCUGUAGCUCAGUUGUAUAGCAUCAGCCCUGUAUGCGGGAGAUCGCGAGUUCAAUCCCCGGCAUCUCCAGGUAAGCCUGGGGAAAGAAUUCUGUCUGAAAUUCUGGAGAUCUGCUGCUAAUCAGUAUAGAUGGCUCAAUUGUCUGACCUCUAUAAGGCAGCUUUCUAUGUUCCUUGAAAGGAAAAGGAGGACUCGGUGUUGAUAAGGACAGAAAUACCAUCAGAGCCUCUGUUGCAAUGGAGGACCGUCUCUACAGUAUUUGUGCCAUAAUUGUCCAUCCUAUUUCUUCUUCCUUUCCAGCUCCUAGCUUUAUAAUUAGACUCUUGAGGAAGGAUCAUUACUCAGUGGCACGAGGUGUUUCUGAAUGACUUCCUUUUGACUAGAGAUGACAGGGACUGAACAGGGGAGGUGGAUCUUCUGCAUGCUAUGCAUGAACUCUGCCGCUGAGCUUUGGUCCUGCUCAACCAGAAUCAGAACAUGCUUCUGAACCUACUGCCAGUCAGUUUAACUGAGUGACUUUGAAUUUCAGCAUGAUAAAAUAAGGCCCUUAAUGAUAAAAUUAAGGUCCGUAUAGUAAAAGCUAUGGUUUUCCCAGUAGUGAUGUAUGGAAGUGAAACCUGGACCAUAAAGAAGGCUGGUCGCCGAAGAAUUGAUGCUUUUGAAUUAUGGUGCUGGAGGAGACUCCUGAAAGUCCCAUGGACUGCAAGAUCAAACCUAUCCAUUCAGAAGGAAAUCAGCCCUGAGUGCUCACUGGAAGGACAGAUCCUGAAGCUGAGGCUCCAGUACUUUGGCCACCUCAUGAGAAGAAAAGACUCCCUGGAAAAGACCCUGAUGUUGGGAAAGAUGGAGGGCACAAGGAGAAGGGGACGACAGAGGACGAGAUGGUUGGACAGUGUUCUCAAAGCCACAAACAUGAGUCUGACCAAACUGCGGGAGGGAGUGGAAGACAGGAGUGCCUGGCGUGCUCUGGUCCAGGGGGUCACGAAGAGUCGGACACGACUAAACAACAACAACAAAAUAAGGCAGUCCCUCCUCACCCGAAGGUUAACAAUUCAACAAACUACCAUGUCCUCACAAGGGAUGAAAGAACAAUUUUGACUACCCAAGCUUCCCAUUCCAAUCUUAAAUCCGGUUCUUCACAUUACUGGAGCAGUUCGCAUCAUGAAAAAAAAUAUCCUGCAUUUUAGUGUGAUUUUCUUCCAAUAAACACAUUUCUUUUCCUUUUGACUAAUGUGCAUAUUUCUGAAAGCAAUUUCUCCUAAUGCAGCCAUUCUGAAACUUGGGUCCCCAGAUGUUUUUGGACCAGAACUCCCAUUAUCCCUGACCACUGGUCCUGCUAGCUAGGGAUGAUGGGAGUUGUAGUCCAUCUGGGGACCCAAGGUUGAGAAUGGCUGUCCAAAUGUGAUGCAUUUUUGUUUUUUAUUUCCACUAAUGCCUUCAUUUUUAUGCACACUUAUUACCUAAUAUGCAGAUGUAUGUGAACAUUGUCUGGUUGGAGAACCCAAGAUUCAGAUAAGUGGGAAAUUCAAAGGAUUGGCUGUGUUUCAGCUUGGGUUGCCAUAUUUAAAAAAACCAGGACACCCCGAAAGUUGUUGAGUUUUUUAAUUGAAUAAAUAUCAGGACAAAGCGCCACAUUUCAGAAAUUCCUCCCGGACGUCACUUCCGCCUUUUAAAUUCCAGUAAUCUCCAGGAAAAUUCAGACAUAUGGCAGUCCUAGUUCCAGUUCUUGUAUCGUUUUGGAAAUGGAGAAUUUGAUAGAUCUCCCUCAUCCCUGUUCCUCACUUCCUUUGCAAUCCUAACAAAACUUACUCAGAAGUAUUAAAGAUAAAGGACCCCUGGACAGUGAAGUCUAGUCAAAGGCGACUAUGAGGUUGCAGUGCUCAUCUCACUUUCAGGCAAGGGAGCCGGCGUUUGUCCACAGACAGCUCUCCGGGUCAUGUGGCCAGCAGGACUAAACCGCUUCAAAACCCUAACCGUGAUGGAAGCCAGAGCACACAGAAAUGCCAUUUACCUUCCCACCGCAGUGGUAUACCUAUUUAUCUACUUGCACUGGUGUGCUUUUGAAUUGCUAGGUUGGCAGAAGCUGGGACAGAGAAAUGGGAGCUCACUCCACCGCGUGGAUUUGAACUGCCGACCUUCCAAUCAGCAAGCCGAAGAGGCUCAGUGGUUUAGACCACAGUGCCACCCACUCCCAUACACAGAAGUAAGCCUCAUUAACUAAUUCCUAGGAAAGUGAGUUCAUCUUGCAGAGCUCUUGUUAGGUUAAACCAUUUGCAAACUGGCAUUGCUUCAGUACAGAACCCCUCACACAGCUUCUACUCCGCCUGGUUCUGGGUUUACUUCAGAAAUUCUUCAUCUUGUGCUGGAAAGAUAUGAACUGCUGCAUUGCAGGCUGGGCUGUCUGAGGCUCCUGGUAAGUGAUGUCAGACCUUGUGGCUUCAGAGCUUCCACCUCCAAACCCACCAGACAUGGCAUGCCCGUGAGUGUGCCCCACAGUGGAGCCCACAGCCAUGUAGUAAUGGCCAUCUGCCCAGGGGCAGGAGAAACCACUGCAGAGACAGGGGCAGGAAUGGGGGCCUGAGCAGCUGGCAGUGGAGCAGACCUCAUAUGAGGUGCACCACUGGCAGGGGGCACCAUCUGAGAUGUCCUGCUCCUGCUUCCCCUCAGCAUGGAAGGUGAGUUAGGAUUGCAGCUGUAGGUUACCUCGAAAUGAUUAUAUUAUUGUGCAACCAAUUGUCAGGCUUUGGGGAAUCUGCUUCCUCCCUCCGUGGCAGUAGAUAAGAAGAUCAAAGAAAUGAACAUUUUACCAGUUAGAAACUUUAAAAAUCCCAGCGAGAGAACAAAGAACACUUCUCCUAGAAAUGGCGAUGCUCCCAAUUAAGGAUUACACCCCCUCCAUCCCUAUUAAUCUACAUCACUCCUAUGUCUUGUAAUCUGAGCUUGUACCCUCUGCGCCUGUUGGGACUUUGCCUACAUGCAGCUUCCCACAGAAGCAAUUAAGGAGUUGGCCAAAGGCCAGGAAGACUGAGCAGAGGGAGUUAUUCUGCCUAGAGAUAUGGGACCUUGGAUACAAUUCUGCUAUUGGACAAGGUCACCCAUAUAGGCACGAUGACUCAUGACUUUCCUGUUUGUGUGUUGGUUGGUUGGUCAGUGGUUGUUUGAGAGUUAGUUGGAGUUUGUUCAAACAGAGUUGCGAUCUGAGUCUGUAUCCUAUACAGUGGUACCUCAGGUUACAUACGCUUCAGGUUACAUACGCUUCAGGUUACAGACUCCGCUAACCCAGAAAUAGUACCUCGGAUUAAGAACUUUGCUUCAGGAUGAGAACAGAAAUCGCGUGGUGGCAUUGCAGCAGCAGCAGGAGGCCCCAUUAGCUAAAGUGGUGCUUCAGGUUAAGAACAGUUUCAGCUUAAGAACGGACCUCCAGAACGAAUUAAGUACUUAACCCGGGGUACCACUGUAGCAGCGUCUUGUUCCUGCUUCAUCCUGCCAGCUUGCAACCGACUGCUUCUGGACAGUCUGCAUAUGCUCUGCAAUAUUCAACAGCGCGUUCUGUUCUGAGACUUUCUGAGCUCUUCGUGACUUUGGGGAGAUUGGAGGAAUGCUGUCCAAUGACUGCGAAUCUGUUAACCCUCUCUCUCCCAGUGUUUCUUCUCCUAGCUGUUCCCCAUCCAGUAUUUCCCAGCUUCUGCCUUCUGAACUAGGCCCCUCUGCAAAGCACUGUUCCAAAUCUAUAGUGUCCUCCUGCUCCUGGGAAGAUUCAGGAGCAGGAGCAGCGGGGUGGGGUGGCCCCCACCAUUCCUCCUCGGUGCAGCCCUCCUCAGCAGGGUCCCUGACACCAAUACAAUAAAGAGUCUAUCCUGGGAAGAGCUUUAAAAUACAUAUUUUGUACCAAAUUCUGCACCAACAAAACAGAAGUAAUCCUUUAUAAAUAAUGCCAGAUUGCCCCUGCAAGUGCAUCAGUCUAUUGAACAAAUAAGUUCCACUUGCAUUAACUUUCACCUAAUAGCUGAUCUAUCCUCUCCACCCAAAAGUCUGGUUGGCCAGUAGAUUAUGACUUUUUUACUAUUGACAAUCUAGCAAAACUUGCCAGCUAAGAGUGCAUAUGGUACAAGAUCACAGGUUCCAAGUGCAGUUUUAUCACAAAUGCUAAUGAUCCAAUUAUCCAGCAUAUGAAAACGCCAAGAUCCCAUAAGCAUAAAGUAAAAGGGUCCUAUUGAUUUGCAACUUUCCCCAAGAUAAUGGUCGACAGCAUUUAUUUACCCGCUGCGCAUGGAAGUGUGAGGGGGGGGGGAAUUAACAGGUUAACAGCCUGUUGGGUGCAGUACGGUACACAAUUAUACAGAACAUAAUUGUUGCCAUAUAUCAUACAAUAUGCAUUCAGUUCCUCUGGAGGGCAUGUUUCUAAAUCAGUGCUGGAAUGAUGCUUUCAAAUCAAACUUUCAAGAGCAUUGGAUGAGCAGAUGGCCUGUCAGAUGUACGUUGGAUGCGGAGCUGGGACAAAUAAUCUUUAUUAAAACUGAGUACCUAUAAUAGACCGUCAGGCACUUUUUCAUGUUGGGUUUUUCCUCUCUCAUCCUGAAAUGGUUUUUAUGAUCGUUAAUGCACAGAACUUGCAGCGCGUGCCUGCUUGAUAGCAGGAGCUAAGAGACUUGUGGGGACUGCUGGGGUUGGAUGUGGCAGUGCUCAACUGUGUAGGACAUGGCGGGCUCUGCUGCGGUUUGGAUUUGAUAUCCCACUUUAUCACUACCCAAAGGAGUCUCAAAGUGGCUAACACUCUCCUUUCCCUUCCUCCCCCACAACAAACACUCUGUGAGGUGAGUGGGGCUGAGAGACUUCAAAGAAGUGUGACUAGCCCAAGGUCACCCCAGCAGCUGCAUGUGGAGGAGCGGAGAUGCGAACCCGGUUCACCAGAUUACGAGUCUAUCGCUCUUAACCACUACACCACACUGGCUCAGAGGCAUCCAAGCAGAGGAUGGAUGGCUAGCAGUCAGGGAUGCUGUAGCUCAGGGAUGGGGAACCUGUCACCCUGCAGAUGCCUCUGGAUUGUGACUCUUCUCAUCCUUGAUCAUUGUCCAUGUUGGCUGGUGCUGAUGGCAUAACCUCCAACAUCUUGCAUCCCAAAACUAGGAUGCCCGUCUUUCUGUCCAUGCUGCUAUGUGAGAUCAUAAAGCCCAAGAAAUGUGUUUUUUCAGAGCUGUGUUCACACAGUGCCCAAAAAUGCAUGGUUUGGGGCACCAUGCGAGAUUGCAGCCCUGAAAAAAAAGCUUUUUUUCGGGGGGGAAAUGUGCUUUUAUCUGGGUGAACUUAGCAUGAAAUCAUGUGAGAUCACAGCACCCAGAAUGGCUGCCGUGCUCUCAUGUGAGAAAGCAGGAUGUCCUCUAUUUUCCAGAAUACUUGCGGGGCAUGUGAUGGGAGUUGGAGCCCAACAGCAUCUAAAGGGCCACAGCUUCCCCUUCUUGGCUGUAGGCUUCUGCUCCUUCUCCUCAGUCACUAGAUCCAACCAGUUGUCACCACCCAAAAUAGUGGAGCAAACGUCAGUUCCCACUGGGACUGAUGCCAGCAUCCAUUUGAUUUAGAUCUAUCGCUUGGACAUGUGUCUUGAGUAUUCACCACCAUUUUAAUUUACCAGUAAUGCCUCUGGGAGUGGCUGCUGGUGCAGCUGUUUCAUUCAGUGCUUUUCUUAUGCCAUGUGCCAUCCUGCAGCUAUUCAGGAAGCACAAUCAGAUCCAUUGUAAAAUUGCAAAUUAUAUUGAACAUUCUCCAGUUAUUUCUUUCCUUCUUAAGGUAACUGCUAUGAUCCACUUACCAUCAUAACUUUCUUCAGAAGCCAGUGCAAGGCACGUCAUUCCAAAGGACAGGAAUAUAGUGUCCAACAGGAGGUAAAGAAUGGGAGGCACCAGUGGCGAUGCUUAGUGGAAGGGUAAGCAUCACAGACUUGCAGGAGUUUCAUCUGGUUUCAUCAGUGAAUUGCUGGGAUAUGGGACCUGUAGUUUGAAGUGCUGUUCAGAAUUCCUAGUGCCGGGCCAAAGAAUGGGGUUCCAGGAAGGCAUGACAGGGUAAAAAGAAUUCUAUUCAAUUUGCAUUUUAAGGUGGACAUACCAGAUUAUAAUAAAUAAUAAUAAAUUUUUAUUUAUACCCCGCCCUUCCCUGUUCAGAAAACUGGGCUCAGGGCAGCUAACAACAAAUUUAAAACAAUUCAUGCAACAAAAAACAGCAUAAAAUACAGUAUAAAACGUAAAUAACAAUAAAUUCAGAAUUCAAAAAUCAAUUCAGAGGGAAAAUCCAUCCAAUAAACUUUAGAUGAUCACCAGGGCUAGCUGGCUAAAUUAGUCCUAUUUGGGCCGGUGAGGAGACCAGGGGGGAAUUAGCUGUGGGAUCCCAGAGCGGGUAAUCUUCAUAAAAAGAGGAGGGGGAGGGAAGGAAGGGGAAUAAAAGAUCAGGCUAAGUUCAAACUGAAAGCCAGGUGGAAUAGCUCUGUCUUACAGGCCCUGUGGAAGGAAGUUAAAUCCUGAAGGGCCCUAGUCUCAUGGGACAGAGCAUUCCACCAGGUCAGAGCCAUCACUGAGAAGGCCCUGGCCCUGGUGGAGGAUAAUCUGACUUCCUUAGGGCCUGGGACCUCUAAACUGUGAUUAUUCAUGGACCCUAAGGUCCUCUGCGGGGCAUACCAGGAAAGGCGGUCCCGUAAAUACGAGGGCCCUAAGCUUUCUGAAACAAUACGUGAACUAGGACACAGCCACCCCUGCAAAUUCUCCAAAUUUCACAGUGCAAUUCUCCAGCCAAGUACAAAAAUGCAUAUAAUAGGAUAAACUAUAUAUUAGUGAAAAUAACAUUGAAAUGCAUUCUGCUGGGGGAAAUCACUUUGCAAAAAUCUGUAUAUUAUGCAAAAUUGCCUACAAGCUUCUGUGUACAGUGGUACCUUGGCUCUUGAACUUAAUCCGUUCCGGGAGUUCAUUCGUAUCCCGAAAUCAUUCGAAAACCAAGGUGUGGCUUCUGAUUGGCUGCAGGAGCUUCCUGCACCCAAGCGGAAGCUGCAUCAGAUGUUUGGCUUCUGAAAAACAUUUUCAAACUUGAACACUUACUUCUGGGUUUGCGGUUUGCGGCAUUCGGGAGCCGAUUUGUUCAACAGCUAAGUCAUUUGAGAACCAAGGUACCACUGUAUUAGGAUGGUUCCGUUGAUGAAAUUGCAGGAGAACUUAAAUGUGUGUGUGGUGUGGGGAGCUAAGCAAUGGGGAAAUGUGGAGAUGAGAGGGAAGAGUGAGAAAACUGACAGUUUCACCUUCUCUUCUCUUGAGCAAUAGGGAGUAAGCUUCCCAAGUUUCUGGAUAGCCUGGACUAUGGCAGGAGAUUCAUCCUGUCUGGUAGGCGCCUGUAUUGAUCCUUCUCAUCCUUCUCCUCCUCCUUCUUCGGCGGGAGAAAGGUGGUCUACCAAUGCGGGGAAGCCUCUCCCCCUGAACUGUCGUGCCAACGCUGCCUUGAGUUCAUAUCUCAGUGGAGCCCUGGCUCCACCGAGUGGACUCUUUCAACCCCUGCUGCCCAAAUUGAGCUGUCAAGAAAGCGAAUGAGAUAAAAAGGAUUAUGGAUGGCGAAGGUUUUGUGCAUUUUCACACAUAGCACUGAAAGCACCCUGAAGUGCCUCUCCCACUGUUUUCAUAAAUGCUGUUAAUGUAGUGUGGAAAGGGGAAGGGGGAGCCAUUUUCAAAUGAGAAGCGCAUUCUAGCCAACAUAGCUUUUUAACAUUCAUAUUACAGAGUCAGGAAAAGCAAAGAAAGCACUCUGAGUUUUAUGAGUGGAGCUUUAUGAGCCCAAAGGGAAUGGAUUCUCACUGUGAAAUGAGCUUUUACUGGGAUCGAUCGAGAAACCCCACAUCUUGACUUACAUAAUCCACGUAACAAGCUUGUGUGAAUAGACGGAGCCAUAAUCAGUGACUGUUUCCUCCAGUGCCAUUAUUUUAAUUCUAGCAAGCAGGUGGAGGUUAAGUUCAUUCUAUUGUUCUAUGAUACGAUUAAUUCCUUUCAGAUUAUCUUUCUGGGGCAAUGCAUGGAACAUGCAGUUCAACUCUACACAUGACAAUGAACGAGAAAGCUCUUUCUAACCCAUCCAUAUUUUUCCAGAACAGAUGUCAGGGCUUAGCUGAGGAGUCACCCAUAUUUGGGGGCACAUUUUGGUUUUUAUUUAUUUCAUUUCAUUUCAUAAAAUUUAUAUACAUAUAUAUAUAUAUAUAUAUAUAUAUAUAUAUAUAUAUAUAUUCAUUAAAGUGGUUUUCAAAUGGAAUAAAACUCUAACAUUAUCAGUAAAAAAAGUUAAAAACAGCUAUUUAAAAUAUGAAAAUGCUCAUUGAAAUAAACAAAAAGCUAAAAAUUGACAAAAGGCAAAGGGCAAGAUUGAGAAGCCAGCAAAAAGCUGGGGCAAGGACAAAGUUUUUGAACAAGUUGGGAGGCAGGACUGAAGAAGAAGCAGCUCAACCCAGUGGCAUAGCAUGAGGGAGGGCACGGGGUGGUUGUCCCAGAUGCAAAAUUCUUAAGGGUGCAAAAUUCCUACCCUUGGUGCUGCCUCAAUACAGCUGUGUGGUGUAGUGGUUAAGAGCGGUGGACUCGUAAUCUGGUGAACUGGGUUCGCUUCCCCGCUCCUCCACAUGCAGCUGCUGGUUGACCUUGGGCUAGUCACACUUCUUUGAAGUCUCUCAGCCUCACUCACCUCACAGAGUGUUUGUUGCGGGGGAGGAGAGGGAAAGGAGUUUGUUAGCCACUUUGAGACUCCGUAAGGAGAGUGAAAGGCGGGAUAUCAAGUCCAAACUCUCCUCCUCCUCCUCUUCCUCCUCUUCUUCUCUUCUGUUGCUGGGCUCCACUGAAAAUGGCUUCUCCAUAUGAAUCAGAAAGUGACCUCUCCAGACCAUGGAGCGCUCUUCUCUUAUCUCUGUGGCUGUGAUCUCCUGAGUGGUGUGAACACCAUUAUGCAAUUGAAUGUGCAUGUGUACUCUGUCUGUUUCCCUCCCUCUGUGCAACCCUCAUAUAAACAAAGCUACAGCAAAGACGAACGAUGCAGGUAAACAUGCAGGGAGGCCCUGAGUGAGGAAAAAUGGAUGGGGGUCACACACAUGCACUACUGUGCCUGAGAACAGGCAUGAGGCCUAUUAGACAGAGCAGCCCUGCCUUGGAGGCCACUUCUCAGGUGGUGGAGAGGCACCCCUCUGGCCGCUCCUCUUAACACCUUUCAAGCACAGCACACAGUCCACAAUCGAAUUCUUGCAUUGCCCUGGCCACUGGCAACCCACGAUAUGCCACUGGCUCAACUUCACAGGAAGUCCUGCUUGGGCACACUGAGUCAUGCUCAAGGUGUGUGGGCAGAUGUGCUAGCAGUUUUACUGCAGCACCAUUGGUCUGCUUACUUUUUCUCUUCUGAUAAGGUCGUUGCCUAGUUACCUAAUUGUAGCCUCUGCUUGUUACACGGCUUAAUUUCUAUGCAUGUGUAAAGCUAAGACCUGUGGACUCUUAUUGUUGUGGGUCCCCCGGUGCCUGCUGUUGCUGUGACCAAGUACAAGCUGCCUAAAACAUCUUGAGUGCUACGGCUAAUUGAAGAAAAUCCAGUAACAACCCCUGCCCCACAUUCUUCCCUCGCUGAGUGAAAAAAAGCGGACUUCUGCAAAAGGCUACAGUUGUAAAUCUCAGCUGGGGUUUGUAACCUUAAAAUCUCUCUCCCACCCUCAUUGCACCAGUCAGCUCCCGAAGUUGACAAGCAUUCUGAAUAAAAACUUAACAGGCAAAAAUGUUCAUGCUGGCUGGCCACAUCGACUCCUCCUGCAGCUGCAGUGUAUGGUUUUCGGCUGCUGACAAUUUUCUACGCUCCCUUUGUCAACAAACCCGGAAGAGAUGAGUCAUAAAGGAAAGGAAGCAUUACAUAGAUAGUAACAAAUGUCACAUUUUCAUGUAGGGUUGUUCUGCGCCCGCCUACCUUCAAGUCUCCGCAGCGUUUUGCAGUUUAAAAUCCAUAUUGUAAUGUAAGAUUUUUAUUAAGGCUCUCAAGGAAGGAGAGAAGGGAAGCAAGAACAAAAUCCCACACUGCGCCUUUAGGAACUGGCUUGCCCCUCCCCCAGGAAGUGUACAGAGACACGCAGAACUUACUUAUAUAAUUCCUAGCUCUCCCCAUCCUGCAUGCACAAAGUACUUGUACUAAUGAUGACAAAUCUGUCACUUUCUGCGCCUCUCUGGCCCCAUCUGCCCUAUAUGUUUAAGGCAUAUCCAACUUUCAAGAGACUAGAUUCAGGUAGGUAGCCGUGUUGGUCUGACGCAGUCGGAAAAAAAAAAAGGCCAGUAGCACCUUACAGACCAGGUACAAUGGUACCUCGGGUUACAUAAGCUUCAGGUUACAUACGCUUCAGGUUACAGACUCCGCUAACCCAGAAAUAGUACCUCGGGUUAAGAACUUUGCUUCAGGAUGAGAACAGAAAUCGUGUUCCUGCGGCGCGGCAGCAGCAGGAGGCCCCACUAGCUAAAGUGGUGCUUCAGGUUAAGAACAGUUUCAGGUUAAGAACGGACCUCCGGAACGAAUUAAGUACUUAACCCAAGGUAC